rnacentral:lncRNA from 1 species
GGAAAGCCCUUGUGCUACACUUAAUGGGAAUACCGUCAACAAGGAAUCACAACCUGAAAUUUCAAUGGCUUGUAGAUUACGCAAGCUUAUAUAUUGAAAUGAACAAUCAAAAAGAAUCUUCAGGUUCUUAAGUUCUUUCAUAAAGAUUUCUUCCACUUUGGAGAAGUACUUUUCUUUUGUUGUUUUCGUUUGACCAAGCAUCAGGUCAUUGGAUGCAACAAAAGGCUGCAUCGUUGUCUUCACCAAGCAUGAAACAUUGUCACAACCAUCCAAUACAAUAGACUUUAAUUCAUCAAUAGUACUCUCUCCAUAAAGGUCUGGUAUGAUGUUAUCCAAAUCUUUUAUCCUCUUUAGUAAUAUACCAUCACUUACCUGAAACAGUUUCUUGAUUGGCAUAGUGAAUGGGAAGUUAGAAUGUGCAAUGUGUAGUCGAUGUUUUAAAUACGAUUUUGAUGGUUCCGGAUCAAUACGCAAAAAUAAUCUCUUAACCCUUGUAUUAAUCCUUCCGAAAAUAAAUUGAAAAAAGAAUUCUUGCAACGUUUUGAAGUAGGUACCUUCAGGAAAAAGAUGACAACCAUCAGAAUUCAUUGACAAAUGCAGAGCUCUGAACCAUUUCAAGUUACUUAUUUCCAUAAGACCAAAGCGCGACGGGUCCCUGUGACGGGUUCCAAUAUACAACUCUUCCAACCUAGGGAGCUUUGAUAUGACACCAGCUGUUACAUCAGAUAAAUGGAAACAGUCACCCGCAUCCAACAGCCUUAAGUUGGUCAAUUGACCGAUCUCUUUAGGAAUCACUUUAAUUCCGGUCCCUCUAACCCUCAGAAUCUCAAGGUCUUUUAGCUCCCCAACUAUACAAAUUUCUGUAAGAUGUCUAUUGGUACUUAGAUCAAGCGUGAUGAGUUUUGUGAGCAGCUUCAGUGAUUGUGGGAGGGAUUUGAUGGGAUUCCAAGACAUAUCUAAAACUUUAACUUCUUUCAUGCCUCCAAAGAAUUCAUCAGGAAUAAUUGAAAGAAGAUUGUGUCGUAUAAGGAAAGUAUCAAGGAGUGGGAAAUGAAGCUGAUGAUCUGGAAGCUUACGAAUUAUAUUACUCAUGAGUGAGAUCUUGGUGUAGCUUUCUGAGGUUCUGUUUCUUGGUUGCCAUUCUGUCAUACAUUUUCCAGCCUCCACUAAAAACUUCUCCUUCUCUUCACCUUCAUAAGAAGAAGUUAUUAACAAAGCCACAUCACGCACAACGUCAUGCAUUUUUACUUCGUUUCCCUCGGAUAAUAACAAGGAAGAGGAUGUGAGGGUGUCAACUGCCAUUCGGACUCUUUUUUCGGCAUCAUUAAAGCUAUCCAGAUUAUUAAAUAUCUGCAGACCCACCCCAUAUUCUGCUAGGCUUAACAUAUCUAUGAUUCCAUCUUCCCUGAACAAACUACACAGCAAGAAGAUUGAUUUAGCUUCUUUGCUAUCAAGUAAGUCAUAGCUCAGCUUCAAAUGAGUAAAUGCUUUCCUUAUCUCUGGAGCAAUCUCUAGAGGGGCAUGCUUUCUUAGUCGGUCAAGUGCUGCCUCCCAAAUAUUAAAUUUUUUAUUUUUUAAAGCAUUUCCCACGGCUUGAAUGAUGAGGGGCAAUCCACCACAUUCUUCAGUCACCUCUCUGGCAAUUUUCUCCAGACUGGAGUCGUUCGCUAACUUUUCAUCACCAACCAUACGUCUGAAGAGGACCCAUGCUUCUUCCUUCGUCAAAGUGUUUACACAGAUAUUCCUAUCGGCGUUCAUCGCUUCACAUACAUCCAUCCUUCUAGACGUCAACAAAAUCUUGCAAUUCCUGUGGGAAGGCCCACAUGGUAUGCCCACAUCAGGGAGGACUAGCGUUUCCCAUAUGUCAUCUAAAAUGAUUAGAACCUUCUCCCCAUUGAUUAUUCGCUUUGCAGCUACUUCAACAUUUUUUUUAAUCUCUUUAACGACUACAGUCUGUGAGACAGUUAUAAACACAGUGUCUGCAAAAAGAUUCUUCACUUCUGCAGCAACUUCCUUGGCUAGUGUAGUUUUCCCUACACCUCCUAACCCAUAAAUUCCAACAAUUUGUACGCUCUCAUCUUUGAUAGCUUUAAUUAUCUCCCUCAACACCAACUUGUGGGUAUCAAUAUCAUCAAGAUUCUUUGCUUGGUAGAGGUCUAUAAAUCUUGGGGUGGGAGUGCGAAUGGAGACACAAGAUUCGUAAGUUUGACCAUCUUCUUGAUGCUGCAGAAGAAAAGGGGUUUUGUUUAUCGACAUCUUACUGUAAUGGUGGAGGGUGCCCAAAUUGACACAAGGUCGUAAGUUGAAGCACGUCUUCUUGGCGUUGGCUUCUUGUUCGAGAAACUCUUCCACUUUGGAUAUUUCAAUGUCUGCCUUCUCCAUCCAGUUCUGCACACCAGCUAAGAGAGCUUGUCCAUUUUCUUUAGCUGCAUCGAUUCGUUGUUGAAUCCUAUCCCUCAUAUCCUUGAGCUUUUGAGUUUCACUCUUCAACUUGUCAAUAUUUUUAGUGUAAUUUCGGAUGUAAUCAAUCUCCCGUUUAGCCGCACUAAACAAUAAAUCCACUAUUUUCCCAACCACAGUAUUAGUGACCUCCUCUCCCAUUCUAGUUGGGUUGCUUCUUUUCUGAUUGUUUGGAUUCUUUAGAUAUGAAAAAAAAGAUUAUGAUUACCUAAAAACCGAAGGCCAUGACUAUAAAUUGCACAAAAAUACAGAUAACAGUGUUUAUUUGGCUAACAAAAGAAGAGUAUGAUAAAACAAGAAUGGAAGACUGUUGCUGAUUAAAAAAAAAGCUGUGACGAUAAGAGUGAAUAUUGAACACUUUCAGAGUGUUUGAUUGGUUUACAAAAGAAGAUAAGAUAAGAGUUACUGUACACAAAAUGAUAGAUACUUUUUUUUUUAUUUAUUUUUUUAUUUUUUAUCAUAACGCUAAACGUUAUAGUACAAAUUUGGUCACUCAUUAUAUUUUUUAAAUUCUAUUAUAAAAAUAGUAAGUUAUUAUAUCAUCGGGUUUAGGUUUAAUAAAGAACAGAAAAAAAAUAUACAAGUAAUAAAAAAAAACUAAUGCGUGAGUAACUGAGCAUCGGAAUGCAUAGUAUCAAUGUAGGAAACAAUGAUGUAUAUUUCUUAGACCUUAUUUGGAACAUGCACUGAAUUAAAAAAUCUUAUUUCAAUUUUUAAAGUCGUAGGGACUGAACCUGGUAGCUUGUAAUACUAAGAGGGUUGAAAAUGAUAUUUUCUGUACUAGACGGUAUCGAAGUGAACUCUUUCAAAAUGGAACUAUAUAGUUGACAUUUGCCCGCCAAAGUGCUAAUCAUUGGAUGGAUUUUUUGACUAUCUUUUAAAUAAAGGGUAAUGAUAUAAAAACACUUUUUUACAUUGAAAUUUGAUUUUGACACCGUGUUUUUUUUUUUUUAUCAAUUUUGACAUUGUGUUUUUCAAUUUGUUAUAAUUCUGACCACUUGACCGGUUAACCAGGUUACAUGCUGACGUGGCAUGCUGACAUGAUAUGUUGACGUGUCAAAAUUGAUUUUUUUUUAAUAAAAAACAUUAAGUUUUCAUUUUUUUCGAUUUUGACACUAAGUUUAAUUUUUUAUUUCAAUUUUGACAGUAUGUUUUUUUGUUCCAAUCGAACAUCAUUUAUCAAAUUUUGUUUAGUUUUGUCUAUUUUCUAUUUGAAACCGUAUAAAUAUAUUUUUUAUUAUAUUUUAAACCGUAUAAACAUAUUUUUUUCGUUUAAAAACUACAUUUUUAUUUAAAUACAAGAUGUUUUUUUUUCUUAUAUUCAAAGCAUUAGGUAUAUCAUGAGAAUUAAACUAACUAUAAGCUUCUAAUAAAAUGUAAAAAUUUGAUUGGUUGCAAACUUGAUAUCUUAAUUUUGAUCCACUACAUGCCUCCAAACCUCCAAACACAUUUUAAAGUUGCAUACUUAAUAUAAAAUACAAUUUUUAUAUAACUAAUACAUAUUUAUAUAUAAAAAUAUGGUUUGAGUGUAAAAAAAAAUGUAUUUAAACAAAACUAUGGUUUUUAAAUGAAAAUAAACAUAUUUAUAUGGUUUAAAUGUAUUUAAAAAAAUUUAUACGGUUUCAAAUGGAUAAUUGUCAACAUUGAACAAAAUUGGAAAAAAUGAUGUUCGAUUUGGAACAAAAAAACAUAGUGUCAAAGUUGAAAGAAAAAAUUAACUUAGUGUCANUAAACUUAGUGUCAAAAUCGAAAAAAAUGAAAACUUAGUGUUUUUUGUGAGAAAAAAAAUUCAAUUUUGACACGUCAGCAUAUAAUGUCAGCAUGCCAUGUCAUCAAAAACUGACACGUCAUCAUGCCACGUCAGCAUGUAACCUGGUUAACCGGUCAAAUAGUCAGAAUUGUAACAAAUUGGAAAACACAGUAUCAAAAUUGACAAAAAAAAAACACGGUGUCAAAAUCGAAUUUCCGUGUAAAAAGAGUGUUUUUUGUGCCAUUUACCCUUUAAAUACUUCUUUGAUGGAUUUUUUUGACUAUUCUUAGGAAUUGAUUAUUAUUAUUAUUAUUAUUAUUAUUAUUAUUUCAAAAAAAAAAAAAACAUUAACAUUCAAGGAUAAAUGCCUUUGAAAAAAAAUCUAUUAAGAAUAAGGAAAAAACAAAAAUUACAAGCAUAAUUCUAAAAAAAAUCGAUCAUUAUUCUUUAACAAUCAGAUUCAUUCUCGUAAAAAUUGAAUAUAGUGCAGGUCAAAAAGACGAAUUACAGGAACAUUCUUUUUAACAACCUUACACAUGUUUUCCCGUUCCUUUACUCUUCUACAAAAUCGCACCAACACAUCUGUUACAAAAUAAAUAAAUAAAUAACCACAAAAAAGAUGAAACCAUAUUCGAAUCUUCAAAGAUACUCAUGCCAUUUACCAUACCUGACAUGCUUUCUCUCUCAAACACCAUUCGUUAAAAUUUGCAAGAAAUUGAAAUUCCACAAACCAAUUAACAAGUUUAAAUAAGCACAUAAUCAUUCAUUAAGAUAAUUUAUGGGUAAAAGAGACAACAGCCGUGCAAUCCUACAAUAUAUUAGCACCAAAACCCCUACAAAACACAAAACCUUAUUCAUAUAAUCAAGACCAGUGAUCUAGGCAUUACCCAUCAAAAUUGUGGCAAAAUAAAGGCACAUAGCUAAGAUCUCAUACAAACAGAUUGUCAACACACACUUGGAUUGUUUAAUUAAAAAAACAAUUUUAUAACAGAAUCCAAAUCUACUUUGUGAGAUGGAAUAUAAUUUGGUUCAUAUAACAAAAGAAUAUUAAAAUAAAGGUUUAAUGGAAAAGAAAAAUACAUGCAAGUAGUCCCUGAAUUCCUGUUCUUGAGGUUUGUUGCCACUACCGACUUAUUGUCUAGAAUACACUUGAAAUCAAUUAUUGCUUUCCAUUGAGGUUUUACAACUGUUGUAUUUAAUUACCAAAAAACUGAGUCAGAAUAUAAAAUAUAGAUUGAAUAAAAGGUAAACUCACAGUUUCACCAUUCCCACUUCACACAACGAAUUUUCUUGAAGAAUAGAUUAUAAAUUGUGUAAUGAAAGUCAAAAUGCAUAGCACUGUAGCAGAAAGGAAAAUGAUAAAUAAGAUUCAAGAAGUAUAAGCAUGCAUAAAUUCCGUUUUCCACCAAUUUAAAAAGUAAACAAAAUGUAGAAAUUUCCACUACCUUUGACGAUUGGAGAAAUUAUAUCAAACACAUCCAAAUUAUUAUUGGAAAAAUUCUAUUAUCUUUGCUCAGCCAAUGUUGCCAUAUUCAACAGGGACCGUAAGAGUACAACACGUUUCCAAGAGAACCAUAGAAUCCCACAACCUACAAAAUACAUGCUAGAAGGCAAGAACAACAUGGUUCUGCAAGAAGAAAAUUGGUUAAAAAAUACAGCUUCAGUGAGACAUUUCAUCCAACAGUUUAUAAGCAACGUACUCUAAUAAUAAUAACAUACUAUAUACCAUCAGUUUUUGCCAAUCCCCUGUUCAGAAACAUGAGCAUAAAGAGCCUGUACCAUAUGAUUAUCAUCUUCAACUGCAACAACCUUGUUUGCAACUUCAAAAAGCUUCAUGGUAGUAUUUCUAGUGCCACGGUCAUAUUAUGGUGCUAAUAGGUGGUGUUGGUGAUGACGAUGGAUAUAGUCGACUAGAAAGUUGGAGGCUCAUGGCGGAGCACGUUUGGUGGCCGGCACGGGAAAUGGAUUUCAAAAAUCGAAAAAGGGGGAUUCAAAAUGGUGGGUUUGUAACUUACCUGAUGAAAAAACAUCCAUUUGGUGUAUGGGUGAGCAUUUGUAUCGAACCGGACCGGUCCGGCGCUUGGCCCGGACCGGUUAUGGAGAAUAUUGUGGACCAGGGACCGGACCAGAUGAGUCGUGUCCGUGUCCGCGUCCGUGUCCGGGUCCGGGUUUUCCGGUUCUUGGACCCGUUUGGACCGGUACAACUUUAAUUACAUAGAGUACAAGUCGUUAAAAUAAGUUUUUAGGUUUGAUACGAUACAACUUGUAAAAAUGAUUAUGUUUCCAUUUCAUGUAUAACUAAUAUACCUUGAUGUUAUAAUAUUAUAAGUUGCAAAAUUAAUUUUCCAAAUAAAAUCAACUAACAUAUAAAUCAAGUUCACCAAGAUUCAUUUCAUAUGAUUUAUCUAUCAAAGAUAGAUAAAAUUCAGAAUUAUAGUAUAAAAUGAUAGUUAAAAAGUUGAAAUAUUUCAACUUUGAUAGCUCAAUUUUGAAGGAUUGUAACUCACUGAAUAUAAUACCAAAAUUAACAAAAUUAUAGUCUAAAUUUAUCUACAAACUGUAACCUAAAUGUUGGAAAAAAUCUCGGGUCAAUCCGACUUAAAAAGAAUGUGUUAUGGUUGUUUAAAAAGUUUCACAGAUUACAAAAUUUUAAAAAAACUUGCUGAAAAGCUGAAAUAUUUUAGCUUUGAUAGCUUAACUUUGAAGGAUUGUAACUCACUGAAUAUAAUACCAAAAUCAACAAAAUUAUAGUCUAAAUUUAUCUACAAAUUAUAAACUAAAUGUUGGAAAAAACCUUAGGUCAAUCCGACUUAAAACAAUGAGUUAGAUUGUUUAAAAAAUUUUACAGAUUACAAAAGUUUAAAAAAAUUGCUGAAAAGCUGAAAAUUUUUAGCUUUGAUAGCUGAACUUUGAAAGACUGUAACUCAUUGAAUAUAAUACCAAAAUCAACAAAAUUAUAGUCUAAAUUCAUCUACAAACUGUAAAUUAAACGUUGGAAAAAACCGCAUGUCAAUCCUACUUAAAAUGAAUGAGUUAUGGUUGUUUAAAAAUUUUCACAGAUUACAAAAUUUUAAAAAUGUUGCUGAAAAGCUUAAAUUUUUCAGCUUUGAUAUCUCAACUUUGAAAGUUUGUAACUCAUUGAAUACUAUACCAAAAUCAACAAAACUAUAGUCUAAAUUUAUUUACAAACUGUAAGUUAAACAUUGGAAAAAACCGCGUGUCAAUCCGAUUUAAAACGAAUGAGUUAUGGUUGUUUAAAAAAUUUAACAUAUUACAUUUUUUUUUAAAUCCGGUCCAACCGGUUCUAAACCCGGUAAAAACUGGACCGGACCGAGAAAAAAAACGGACCGGACCGGGAUGGAUUCCUAGAACCGAGAACCGGCCCGGGGGUCCAAAAAAGCCGUCCGGUCCGGUCCGAUUCACCGGUCCAAAUGCUCACCCCUAAUUUGGUACAUAUAAGCAUAUAAGGUUAAAGGCGAGGGGAAUGGUAAGGAUUAGGGAGUGUGUGCAUUCUCAGCAUUCUAUUUUUUUUUUAUUUUCUUUUUCUAAUUUAAUUAAAUUACAAAACAUUUUUUUUGCAUAAAUAUUAAACAAAAAUUAUUUUUUUUAACCACAAACAAUUAAUAUAAUAUCAAUUUUUUUUUUAAAGCACCUCAUAUUAAAAAAUUACAAUAAAUUAAAACAAAAAAUACCUAACNNNNNNNNNNNNNNNNNNNNUUGUAGUUGCUAAAAAUUGAUAUUUUUUUGAAAUUUUAACAAGAUCUUAAUGAUUAAAUUUUUUACAACAAAAACAUACAUUUUAUCUAUAUAUUUCUAACAAAUAAUGAACUAUUAAGACAAGAUAAGGGCGUGAUUUUGAAACUUCCAUCCAAAUGGAAUAAAAAGGAAUUAAAAUAAACUCGGACAUGAAUGGUGAAGAUUCUCCAAUAGCCAAUCAGAUUCAAGCAACCUUCUCUCUCUCCUCUCGUUACGCCAUUAACGAGCUUAAGGUAGCGAGCUCCCUAGCGAGAGCUAGGGGCGGUGUUCUUUCUUCCUAGCGAGCGCCUAACGAGCUCUUUAGCACAUCCACUCCUAUCAGCCGAAAAUGACCUGAGAGAUUGAAUUUGGAAGAGAACAAAGAAGUCGGUGGUCCGCCAGUGAUGAUUGUGGUCUGAUGGUGUGUGUAGACUUUGAAGAACUUGGUACUAACUUGGUAAAUAUGGGAGACGGUGGCGGGGGUAGUCAAAGUGAUGGUGAUUGGUGGUUGUUUUGAAUGUGAUAUUGUUACAAAACAAAUUCAUUUGUGGUUUAAAAAAUAAAAUUUGUUUAAUAUUUAUGCACAAAAAUGUUUCUUUAUUAAAAUAAAGUAAUUUAAUUAAAUUAGAAAAAGAAAAUUAAAAAAAAAAAGAGUCCUAGGAGUGUUACCACUCCCUACAAAAUGCAAAAAUUAAGUACUAAAUGUUCAAAAAUGAGAUGACACUCAAAAAUCUGACGUGACAAGAUGUUAGAAGUGUGACAUCCCCAUUUUCACGGUCAGAAAAGACCGAUUUUGUUUAUGCUUUGUUUAAAAAUCAGAGUAAUAUUUUAAAUAAAAGUGUUGCGGAAUUUGUCCCAAAACAAAAUAUGAUAAAGAUUUAUCAAAAGCAUUUCCGUAGAAAUGUAUUUCAUUUAAAAAGACUCGGGAUGUCAUGUUCGAUACAGAUCAUAAGCAUAAACAAUACAGCAUAGGCCUUACUACAUUAUUCUGUAUUUACAGGCCUAAAAUUCAUUACUCUCUCAUCCCAAGACAUCACAUCUAUGCUCAUGCGCCACUACCUGUAAUACAAGAAACUGAGUGGGUCAGGCUUGGGAGCCUGGUGAGCACAUAGGGUUUUCAACCCACAAUAAAUAAGUUAUUAGCUUUAUCAAACCAAACAAACCCGAUUACCCGUUCCCGUUAUCCUCACUUUACGUCCCUAAAACAUCUAACACAAGGGACCUAGUCUAAGGACUAUCAUCGGGAUGGACACUACUGCUAAGGGGAUUCCUCAGCAAUAAAUGUCCUUAAGGCAACCAUAUGGGGGAUGGAGUACAUCUGGUGAGCACACAGUUCAAAUAAACACACAGUUCAAAUAAACACCUACAGGUUGCGAGCCUGCUAGUGUUCCACUGGACUGUCUAGAAUAGUCCGUGGUCAUCAUCUAUACUCCGCUAGAUGACUGGAUCAUCAAUAACAUCUAUAACGAGGCCUCUCAUUAUUUUAUUUUGUCACACAACAACUAUUACAUCUACCCAUGUUUUACCCAACACAUUUUGUAGAUAUAAAAUACAUAUACAGUUUAAAUCAUUGAAAACAUGUAUAAAACGUUCAUCCAGCAUAGAUAGCAAGUAUUCAGAUAAUAUGCACACAUAGCACGUAAUUUAUAUAAAAUACUUCAUAUCUAUGUGUAAGAUGAAAGUAACUAUGCACUCACUUGAAAGGUGGUGAGUCGGCACUCGGACAGCACUUCGUUACUCUUAAAACAAUUAUCCCUUGACGAAACCUAGUAUCAUUACCACUAGAGUUUAGUCUAACGCUUGACGAGACUAAUUUAAUAGUCUAGCUAUUAUUACUAUUAUAUAAGCGUUAAAUAACACUCAAUAUAACUCAUAAUAAUAGCCCAAAAUAAUUAUUUUAAGGUCCUAAUAUGUUAUUAUAAUUAAAUAAAAUCUAUAUUAAAUAUAGUAUAGGCGUAGCUCACUUACAGCGGGUUUUUAUUAAAAACCGGGUUUCGUUGGAGCAGCGUUUCCGAGCCGAAAGCUUUUCUUCUCGGAGCCGUCGGGCGCUCCGGGGCUUUCUUCUCGUGCUAGGGAGGUUCCGUAGACUUGGGAGGGGUUUAGGGAGGCUAGAGAGAAGUUAGAGAGAGAAAGAGAGGCUUAUGGUGUGAAGAAAAUAUGAGGAGUUCACCCUUGUAUUUAUAGGAGUUUUAUAGUAAAGUAGUCUCCACGUUUCGUCCGUAACUUUUGCAUACGAGCUCCGUUUUUGUCUGUCUUUUUACCGUUGAGUUCCUAUUAAUGAGAUCUUCAACUCUCAUUUAGACCUCGUUGGCUAAUUCUCAUUCUAUCUCGGAUUUACAAAACUGUAUCGAAUUCGCCGCGUUCGAAAAGUAGAGACUAAGCAUUGUCCAUAACUUUCGCAUACGAGCUCUGUUUUUGUCUAUAUUUUUACCUUUGAGUUCCUAUUAAUGAGAUCUUCAACUCUCAUUUAGACCUCGUUGGCUAAUUCUCAUUCUAUCUCGGAUUUACAAAACUGUAUCGAAUUCGCCGCGCUCGAAAAGUAGGGACUAAGCUUCGUCCAUAACUUUCGCAUACGAGCUCUAUUAUCGACGUUCUUUAUAUCCAUGCAUUGGUAUUUAUGAGUACUACAAAUUUCAUUUAGAUCUCGUCGGCUAAUUCUCACUCUAUCUCAGAUUCACAAAACUGUAUCGAAUUCGCAACGCUCAAAGAGUAGGGACUAAGUUUCGUCCAUAUCUUUCGCAUACGGGCUCCGUUUUUGACUGUCUUUUUAUCGUUUAACUCCUAUUAAUGAUAUCUUCACUUAUCGUUUAGAUUAUUUUGGCUAAAAAUCGACCGAUCUAAAAUUCAGAUUUUGGGCUAUGUACUGCUAUGCUAAAUCUUAGAAAAAUCAUAACUUCCUCAUACGAAGUCAGAUUUUGAUGUUCUUUUUAUGCACACUAUCGGUUUAACAUAUACUACGAAUUUCGUUUAGAUCGCUAUGGCUAAAUCUCGCUCUAUCGUAAAUUCACUAUUUACGCCUCCCGGUAUCGUGUCGGUUCCGUCGCGAAACUUCGACGGGUCAUAACUUCUUCGUUAUAACUCGGAUUUCGACGCUCUUUAUAUGUACGGAAACCUUGUAACAUAUACUAAAACUUGGUUGAGAUUAUUUAUUCUUAAUAAGCUUUUGUCAAAAAGUCGUUUUCGACCCCUAUUGCCUCUAAAUUUACUAGCCCGAAUCUACGGGCGUUACAAGAAGUGUUACCACUCCCCUUAACCUUAAGAUAAUAUAGGCUUCAAAUUAAAACAGUUGCUAUAACUACAUGAUAAUAUUUAAAGUUCAUUUAUUUACUGGGUUAUGGAACCAUGGGAAAAAGAUUAAUAAAACAUAUAUACUACUAAAAAGAUUUAAGUCUUUUUACAUUUUUUUUUUAUUGAUUAUUUAAAAUUAAUAUAUAUUUUUAUUUGAAUAUAUGAUAUACGUUAUGCAUGUAAAGACGUUUAAUAUAAUGAUGAUUUAUAAAUAAGAAUACAAAUUCAAAUAGAGUGUAAUAAAAUCACAAUCAAUAAUGGAACUGACAUUGAUAUAAGAAAAAUAAAAAUAAUAUAAAUGUAAUAAAAUUAAAUAAACACAAUACAAUAAAUUACAAAUUUAAAACUACAAAUGGUUUAUAAAUUUCUAAAACUUCUUUAUACCCAACAUUGGAAUCUUUGUUUGUAAAUCUACUAUCCUUAUCUAAAAUUAACAAUUUUAAUCAUUAUUUACCUUCAACUAGGGAUGUCAAAAAGUCUCGUGGGACCCCAAUCCCAUAUGAGGAUAUUUGUUAAAAAACCGGGGACAGGGGCAGCGUGGGGGCAAUGUUAACUCCCGUUUUAGUUUCCGGGGCGGGGACGGGGGUAGGUAGUCCCGUCCCGAACCCGCAUGGGCCCNNNNNNNNNNNNNNNNNNNNNNNNNNNNNNNNNNNNNNNNNNNNNNNNNNNNNNNNNNNNNNNNNNNNNNNNNNNNNNNNNNNNNNNNNNNNNNNNNNNNNNNNNNNNNNNNNNNNNNNNNNNNNNNNNNNNNNNNNNNNNNNNNNNNNNNNNNNNNNNNNNNNNNNNNNNNNNNNNNNNNNNNNNNNNNNNNNNNNNNNNNNNNNNNNNNNNNNNNNNNNNNNNNNNNNNNNNNNNNNNNNNNNNNNNNNNNNNNNNNNNNNNNNNNNNNNNNNNNNNNNNNNNNNNNNNNNNNNNNNNNNNNNNNNNNNNNNNNNNNNNNNNNNNNNNNNNNNNNNNNNNNNNNNNNNNNNNNNNNNNNNNNNNNNNNNNNNNNNNNNNNNNNNNNNNNNNNNNNNNNNNNNNNNNNNNNNNNNNNNNNNNNNNNNNNNNNNNNNNNNNNNNNNNNNNNNNNNNNNNNNNNNNNNNNNNNNNNNNNNNNNNNNNNNNNNNNNNNNNNNNNNNNNNNNNNNNNNNNNNNNNNNNNNNNNNNNNNNNNNNNNNNNNNNNNNNNNNNNNNNNNNNNNNNNNNNNNNNNNNNNNNNNNNNNNNNNNNNNNNNNNNNNNNNNNNNNNNNNNNNNNNNNNNNNNNNNNNNNNNNNNNNNNNNNNNNNNNNNNNNNNNNNNNNNNNNNNNNNNNNNNNNNNNNNNNNNNNNNNNNNNNNNNNNNNNNNNNNNNNNNNNNNNNNNNNNNNNNNNNNNNNNNNNNNNNNNNNNNNNNNNNNNNNNNNNNNNNNNNNNNNNNNNNNNNNNNNNNNNNNNNNNNNNNNNNNNNNNNNNNNNNNNNCUCUCACAAACACACACAUAUAUAUAUAUAUAUAUAUAUAUAUAUAUAUAUAUAUGUGUGUGUGUGUGUGUGUGUGUGUGUGUGUGUUUAAAUGAGAAUAUUUUCUACAGCGAGAACAUUUGAGAACAAUUCUUGGCCGUUAGUUUUUUUUAAUUUAAAGUUAAAAGAAAUUAUUUCUUUAUUAUUGAAAUUUAAAUAUAUCUUUGUUUAAGAUUCUUUUGUAUCUCUUUCUCUCUUUAGAUCUCUCUCUCUCUCUCUCUCAUAGGUAAGUCUAGAGUCUGGACCGUCGGAACCACCAUAAUGUCGCCGGAACCUUCGCCUGACCGCCUCUUCACUCCUUGCGGAUUUGCUUGUUCGCUGCCUCCCUCUCCCUUCAACUGUCGAAAACCACAUUCUCCGCCCUCCUCUUCCUAAAUUGUCACUGAAUCUUAUUUCACCGGCCAUAAGAUUGCGUUUUCAGAUCUAGUUCCAUCGGUUUUAAGAUCUCGUUUCCCGCUCUUGUUUCCCCGCCACAGGACCUGCUUUCCCAAUCUAGAUUUAGACUCCUCGGACCUCCGAGAGCAGCUGUAACGCCCGGGUUUCAGGGCUAAGCAUUUUUGUCNUAUAUAUAUAUAUAUAUAUAUAGACACACACACACACAAAUAUAGCCAGGUUCUUUUGAAAACCAAAAGAUUUGCGAAAACUUGCGAACUCAUAAUCAACUCAUCAUUUUUCAAUACUAAAAACACCAAUCUUCUCAAAAUGGUGCGUCUACGCCAUAUCUAUGCUAAAAAAAAAGAUUUGAUGUUUUUUUUUGGCUUUUUUGUUUGACUGCUGAUUGUGCUUAUCAGCAGUACAUACGACUGCUGAUUGUGCAUACAUGCAAAUUUCAAAAAUUUCAAAAAUAAUUGUCAAAUCUUUUUUUUAGCAUAGAUACAGUGUUGUAAAACUCACCGAUUUGUCCGAGUACUCGCUACUCGGCCCCUUACCGAGGCGAAUUACAAAAUCCGAGUACUCCCCGAUCUGCCCCUUAUUGAAGCGAGCCCUGUUAUAAAACUCGGCCAACUCGAUGAUUAAUAUGUAUAGUAUACUUAAUGAUUUGUUAUUUAACACACACAUAUGUGAUUAUUACUACAUAUAUAUCUUAAAUUUUCAAUAAUUAUUCAUGAAGUGGGACCAUUGUGUGUUUUUUUAGUUUUUGUGUAUUCACAUGUAUCUAAUUUUUUUUAUAUAUUUCAUUCAACUUAUGGUUUUAACUUAUGAUUUUGACAUAUAUAAUUUCCCUAAAAAUAUUUCUAUAUGAAUUACCGAAUCCGAGUACGCCCGAGUACUCCCGAGUACUCGCUACUCGGUAGUCGGCCAAGUAGGUACCGAGUAGCGAGUUCUACAACCAUGCAUAUAUAUGAAUUAGACGUACCAUUUGGAGAAGAUUGAUAUUUUAAGUUUGAAAAAUGAUGUGUUGAUUAUGAGUUCGCAAGUUCACAUGCUUUUUUUAGUUCUCACGAUAACUCAACCAUAUAUAUAUAUAUAUAUAUAUAUAUAUAUAUAUAUAUGUGUGUGNNNNNNNNNNNNNNNNNNNNNNNNNNNNNNNNNNNNNNNNNNNNNNNNNNNNNNNNNNNNNNNNNNNNNNNNNNNNNNNNNNNNNNNNNNNNNNNNNNNNNNNNNNNNNNNNNNNNNNNNNNNNNNNNNNNNNNNNNNNNNNNNNNNNNNNNNNNNNNNNNNNNNNNNNNNNNNNNNNNNNNNNNNNNNNNNNNNNNNNNNNNNNNNNNNNNNNNNNNNNNNNNNNNNNNNNNNNNNNNNNNNNNNNNNNNNNNNNNNNNNNNNNNNNNNNNNNNNNNNNNNNNNNNNNNNNNNNNNNNNNNNNNNNNNNNNNNNNNNNNNNNNNNNNNNNNNNNNNNNNNNNNNNNNNNNNNNNNNNNNNNNNNNNNNNNNNNNNNNNNNNNNNNNNNNNNNNNNNNNNNNNNNNNNNNNNNNNNNNNNNNNNNNNNNNNNNNNNNNNNNNNNNNNNNNNNNNNNNNNNNNNNNNNNNNNNNNNNNNNNNNNNNNNNNNNNNNNNNNNNNNNNNNNNNNNNNNNNNNNNNNNNNNNNNNNNNNNNNNNNNNNNNNNNNNNNNNNNNNNNNNNNNNNNNNNNNNNNNNNNNNNNNNNNNNNNNNNNNNNNNNNNNNNNNNNNNNNNNNNNNNNNNNNNNNNNNNNNNNNNNNNNNNNNNNNNNNNNNNNNNNNNNNNNNNNNNNNNNNNNNNNNNNNNNNNNNNNNNNNNNNNNNNNNNNNNNNNNNNNNNNNNNNNNNNNNNNNNNNNNNNNNNNNNNNNNNNNNNNNNNNNNNNNNNNNNNNNNNNNNNNNNNNNNNNNNNNNNNNNNNNNNNNNNNNNNNNNNNNNNNNNNNNNNNNNNNNNNNNNNNNNNNNNNNNNNNNNNNNNNNNNNNNNNNNNNNNNNNNNNNNNNNNNNNNNNNNNNNNNNNNNNNNNNNNNNNNNNNNNNNNNNNNNNNNNNNNNNNNNNNNNNNNNNNNNNNNNNNNNNNNNNNNNNNNNNNNNNNNNNNNNNNNNNNNNNNNNNNNNNNNNNNNNNNNNNNNNNNNNNNNNNNNNNNNNNNNNNNNNNNNNNNNNNNNNNNNNNNNNNNNNNNNNNNNNNNNNNNNNNNNNNNNNNNNNNNNNNNNNNNNNNNNNNNNNNNNNNNNNNNNNNNNNNNNNNNNNNNNNNNNNNNNNNNNNNNNNNNNNNNNNNNNNNNNNNNNNNNNNNNNNNNNNNNNNNNNNNNNNNNNNNNNNNNNNNNNNNNNNNNNNNNNNNNNNNNNNNNNNNNNNNNNNNNNNNNNNNNNNNNNNNNNNNNNNNNNNNNNNNNNNNNNNNNNNNNNNNNNNNNNNNNNNNNNNNNNNNNNNNNNNNNNNNNNNNNNNNNNNNNNNNNNNNNNNNNNNNNNNNNNNNNNNNNNNNNNNNNNNNNNNNNNNNNNNNNNNNNNNNNNNNNNNNNNNNNNNNNNNNNNNNNNNNNNNNNNNNNNNNNNNNNNNNNNNNNNNNNNNNNNNNNNNNNNNNNNNNNNNNNNNNNNNNNNNNNNNNNNNNNNNNNNNNNNNNNNNNNNNNNNNNNNNNNNNNNNNNNNNNNNNNNNNNNNNNNNNNNNNNNNNNNNNNNNNNNNNNNNNNNNNNNNNNNNNNNNNNNNNNNNNNNNNNNNNNNNNNNNNNNNNNNNNNNNNNNNNNNNNNNNNNNNNNNNNNNNNNNNNNNNNNNNNNNNNNNNNNNNNNNNNNNNNNNNNNNNNNNNNNNNNNNNNNNNNNNNNNNNNNNNNNNNNNNNNNNNNNNNNNNNNNNNNNNNNNNNNNNNNNNNNNNNNNNNNNNNNNNNNNNNNNNNNNNNNNNNNNNNNNNNNNNNNNNNNNNNNNNNNNNNNNNNNNNNNNNNNNNNNNNNNNNNNNNNNNNNNNNNNNNNNNNNNNNNNNNNNNNNNNNNNNNNNNNNNNNNNNNNNNNNNNNNNNNNNNNNNNNNNNNNNNNNNNNNNNNNNNNNNNNNNNNNNNNNNNNNNNNNNNNNNNNNNNNNNNNNNNNNNNNNNNNNNNNNNNNNNNNNNNNNNNNNNNNNNNNNNNNNNNNNNNNNNNNNNNNNNNNNNNNNNNNNNNNNNNNNNNNNNNNNNNNNNNNNNNNNNNNNNNNNNNNNNNNNNNNNNNNNNNNNNNNNNNNNNNNNNNNNNNNNNNNNNNNNNNNNNNNNNNNNNNNNNNNNNNNNNNNNNNNNNNNNNNNNNNNNNNNNNNNNNNNNNNNNNNNNNNNNNNNNNNNNNNNNNNNNNNNNNNNNNNNNNNNNNNNNNNNNNNNNNNNNNNNNNNNNNNNNNNNNNNNUGUCAUCUAGCGGAGUAUGGAUGACGACCACGGACUCUUCUAGACAGUCCAGUGGAACACUAGCAGGCUCGCAACCUGUAGGUGUUUGUGAACGAUGUGUUCACCGGUGUACUCCAUCCCCCACAUGGUUGCCUUUAGGACAUUUAUUGCUGAGGAAUCCCCUUAGCAGUAGUGUCCGUCCCGAUGAUGAUCCUUAGGCUAGGUCCCUUAUGAUAGGUGUUUAGGGACGUAAAGUGAGGAUAACGGGAACGGGUAAUCGGGUUAUUGUUGAUCGAUGAAAUUAAUAAACUUAUUUAUUGUGGGUUGAAAACCCUAUGUGCUCACCAGGCUCCCAAGCCUGACCCACUCAGUUUUAUGUAUUACAGGUAGUGGCGCAUGAGCAUAGAUGUGAUGUUUUGGACGAGGGAUUACGGAUAUAGGCCUGUAGAUAUGAAAUAAUGUAGUAAGGCUUAUAUUGUACUGUUUAUGCUUUUGAUAUGUACGAACAUGACAUCCCAAGUCUUUUAAUGAAAUACAUUUCUAUGGAAAUGCUUUUGAUAAAUCUUUAUCAUAUUUUGUUUUGGGACAAAUUCCGCAACACUUUCAUUUAAAAUGUAACUCUGAUUUUUAAACAAAACAUAAACAAACCGGUCUUUUCUGGCCGUAAUUUUGGGGAUGUCACAGCAGCUCACCGUGAAAGACCUUUCGUCUCCGACCUUCACUCUCAACUUUUUUCUAGAUAUCAUUGAUGGGUUUUGAGCAUUCUAACACUCCUAAGGUGUACAUGCAACCCUAGAAACCUUGGAUCUAUGUUUUACUAUGAUACAUCCAAAUUUGAUUUUCCAAGGUUUAUAACCUAUCUAGCAUACAUGGGGAACUUUAAACAUAAAAGCUAGUAAGAAAAACAUACCUUUUGUUGCUUGAAUUCCUUUGAGAACCUUGUGAGCCUAGCACCCCAAAUGUGAUGCCUCAAAUGCUUCACACAACACCUACACUUGGAAUAACCUUGAGAGAAAAGUCACACUUCUAAAAUCGGCUAUGCCCUCUUGUUCUCACUUAGUGACUGAUUUUGGUGAAUAACAUAAUCCUUUUAUAGAGUGUCACAAGUAGGGUUACACCAUGUAAACCCUAAAUGACAUGGCUCUUCAUUUCUUGGAUCCAUGGGUUCAAAACAACAAUGGAGCAUCCAUGGAGCAUCUUAUGGGUUUUAGGCCAACUUGAUAAACUAUGGAUCAUUAGCCCACUAUACAAAAAUGGAUGAUUUACACAGUCAACCCAUAUAUUUAAUUAGUCUCUUUUUUUAUCACAAAAUUAAUUCUUGAUCAAUACUAACUAAAUAAUAUUAUUAAUAUAUUAGAACUUAUAAUAUAUUAAUAACCAUACAUGUCCUUUCUCUCAGCAAACAAAACCAAUCUCUUUUUGUCAUCUCUUACAAUAUCCAAACAUGAUUCAAAACUAUAAUAUGAAUCAUUGACUAGCUUUACAUUCUCACAAUCACCUGAAUCGGAUUGAAGAGAACUAAAAUGAUAAUUUCUUGAUAUAACAUCCUUUCUCCGUCUUUUCAAAAUGUACCUUUCAGGAAUUUCUUUAACACCACAUCUCAUCAUUAUUAUAAAAACAUGUCUGCAUAAAACACCCAUACACUUAAAAUAAAACAAUAAUAUAUGAAUAAAACAAUCAUAUAUGCAUACAUGAAACUCAUAUAAAUAAAACAAAAAACAUUCAUAUAUGAAUAAAACAUUCAUAUAUGAAUACAUAAAAUUCAUGAGGAUUCAAAAUAUAUAAAAUAAACAUAACUUAUUCAUAUAUGAAUAAAACGAAAAAAAUAAUAAAUUCGAAAUUACAAUUAUCACACGUUUAUUCAUAUAUGAAUAAGACAACACUUUAUUCAUAUUAACAUAUUCAUAUAUCAAUAAAUGAUAAUCCACAAAAUUAAAAACAACAAAAUAAUUCAAUAACUCAUACCUUCAAAAAAUGAGUUCUCAACAUCUUCUUCUUCACUCUCACUCAUAGAAGAAUACAAAUCACCAUCAAUAACACUAGAAUUCGACAUAAUAAUCCAAAUGAUUUGUAUAAAUAAACAAAAACAAUCUUAAUAUCGAAUAUAUCUCAUAGAAAAAAGUCAUAAAGAUGAAAACUUGGUUAAUUUCGAAUAUAUGUCACCUCAACGUACAAAAUAUCUGAAAGAAACUUCAAUCAGAUCGAUCAGAUGAUGUAAUUAAGCAAUCUCUCUCAGUUUAGAGCGUAAAAACUACAAUAAUAUAUCUGAUUAAAAAUUAAAUCAGCUCCGAUUUGAAAUAAAUAUCUCAAACUACAUAACAAAAAUCCGAUUAAAUCACUGCAAUACAUAUUCGAAACUUGAUAAUCUUGAUAAUGAACUCCGAUGAAACAACUCCAAAACGAAGAUAAUACGCGUAAUUCCAAACAAAUUAUAUAGAGCAAUAAUCUUGAUAAUGAACUCCGAUCUAUCCGAUUCAAACGAUAUACAUACGUGAUCAAAUUGGAAACUAAAUACGAAGAAGAAAACUGAAACACAGAUGGCAAACUUCACAAUUAAUGGAAUGAAUACGUAUAAUUGCUAACGAGUUAUAUAAAGAAAAUAAUCUUGAUAAUGAAUUCCUCAUAUCCGAUUCAAACGAGCUAAAAGAUAUCAUCAAAUUGGAAACUGAUAACAACGAACAGGUAAGUUCUAUGUAAAAAAGUUGUUAAUUUACAAAGAUACCCUUAAUGAAAAAUGGACAUGCGUAUUUUUUUUAAGGUGAACAUGUUAGAUAAAUGAUUGGCUGAGAAUGAUUCCCCAAUUCUCAACCUUUUUUAUUUUCUCAAUUGAACUUUUAUAUAUAUAUAUAUAUCAUUACCUAUAUGUUAAAGAGUUGGGCUUAUGUCCACGUCGAUAGUUGCUUUCCCUCCUCCAAUCGGAAGACUAAUGGGCGGCCAAUUUUAAACGAUGAUAUGUUCUUCCGUUAUACCCUUCAUCAUCCUUCCGUUAGUUGCUUGGCUGCAUGCAUCACCAAUCUGCCUGCUUGUUUCCAGUCAUCAUUGCAUCAGGCCAACGCAACAGACUUCAAAGGUGGGUUUACUCUUUGUCGGUGUUUCCCCCAAAGCUCUUUGCCGCCUCAAUUAAGCUUCUUAAGGCGAGUCACUCUUUCUUUCUCACGUUUUUCUUUUUGCCACUCUUUCUUCUCCUUUUUCUUUCUUAUUGAGAAGUAACCGCCUUAGAUUUCUUUAACCACCAAUAUCUCCUGAUCCAGGUAAUCAGUUCUAUUUUUUAGUAUUUAUCUACAACAUGAGAUUUUUGGUCUGGUAUCAAUGGAUAGUUACUAAAUGUUCUGUACACCAAAUCCUUUUAUGCAUCUUGUUUAUAUAUGUAAAUUAAAAUAUGAGAAUCGACCAGUAGCAGCAAGAACUCAAUUUGCAGAUUAUUUUUUCCUUGUUGUUUCAGUUGAUGUCUUCGGCUAUAAUUUUCUUUUUGUUCACUGCUGCUUGAAGUGGUUACAUUAACCCUAAUCAUCCACAGAAGUUUAUUUAUUUAUAUAUUCUUACUCAUUAUCUGCAUGAAAUCUCUUUUCUCUUUUGCAUCAUGGUGGUAGUACUAAAAAAUUUCAAAAAGGGGGCGAGGGGUUCUCUGUUCCACGUCGAUGGGUUGCUUCCCUCCCCCAAUAGAAAGACUGGAGCGGGCAUUUUUAACGUAUAUGACGGUGAGCAGCUUGGCUGUCUACAUCACCGAGGUGCCUGCCUGUAUUACCAGGGUGCCUGCUUCCGACGCCGCCUUACAAACGUUUAUGACGUAUGAUUCCCGCCAGCGAUGGUCUAAUUGAAGAAAUCGACUACUUGGGCUAUGGGUUUUCCUUUUGGCGGUGAUGUUUUCUUCAAAGCUGCUUUCACCUACUGCUUUGUUUGAAGCGUCGAUGAAAUGUGCGUUCGUCGCCUUGCUUCCCUUUGUCGAGUCACACUCUAUUAUGAGCUCUGGUGGCCACCUAUUGUCGUGGUUUUCAAGGUAAUCUUUUUAUAUUGAUUUCAUUAUAUACCGACUUCAAUCUCCUUCAUCUCUUUUUAUUAUAUUUUUUUGCUAUCUCUUUCUUUAGACAAUGCUUUGGGUGAGUGAUUUCGACCUCAAAUCGAAGCUACAUGAUUAGGGAUUUUUUGUUUUGUUGUGUUCGUUUGCUGGAUUAUGGCUCUAUCUUCACAAAAAGUUUUAAUUUGAGACGUUGGAUUAAACAAGAAAGGAUGUUCUCCUUUUCAUCUGAUGGUGGUCGGAGACAUACGACGUUGCCGCCUGCCAGGGCAGCUUAUGUCUUCGUUUUUCCUGAUUUAGGUAAUCUCUACUAUCGGUUUAAUUCUAAAAUACAAGCAAUCGAUAUUCAAUCAUUUUUGUAGAACAAUUUACAUAAUUUUUUGGGAUUUGGUAGAUUUCAAGUACUUAAAUUUAUUUUUUCUAAUGGAAUGCACUUUUGUUAUUUAAUGAAUUUGUUGAAUUACGGUCAUUUGUUUGACACAAUAGCGAAAGCCACUUAGAGAGUGGGAAGCUAUCAACUUUAUAAAUUAUUUAUGGUUUCGUAUUUGUUAGCUCUAAUAUGUUUGAUCUUUAUACAGAUGGCGGUUUUUAUGGAAUUUUAACAAAUGGGUGAUAUUGAUGGUUUAGGAAGCAUAAAAAGGAUAUAACACAGUUUCAGGCUGGAUUUGGGUACCAGCAGAAAUCCAAUGCCUAGUAGAUAAGAGAGAUCGGAAAUAGAGUUUAUAACCACCUUCAACUUUCUCUAUUCUCUGCAAUAUCAUUGUUUCUAUUGUGGGUUGUUUCAAUUGUUUCUUCUUUGUUAAAAGAUUAUGAUGGGGCUUAAUAACAACUCGUAGUCUUCAUCUUGACAAAAUAUUGAAGCCUUGGAGGAAACUACUAAUUAGUUUUAUUGAAAGACCAAUGAUUCUUACACUACAAGAAAGUAGAGCAUUACCGGCGACAGGCGUCGUCGCUAAAAGUGCGGCUUGUCGCCGCUAAAAUGUCGAUGCUGAUAUUUUGUCGCUAUUAAUCAAACUGUCGCCGCUAACGCGUGUUUGUCGUCGCUAAAGACUUGUCGCCGCUAAAGACGUGUCACCAAUAAUAACCUAUUGUUGCCACUAAAGGCGUCGCAUGUAUUGGUGUUUUUCUUUUAUAUNAAAAACUGGUAUGAUAUUAAUUAAUCUAAUCCUACAUCAUUCCAAUCCAAAAUAUUAAUACAAUAUCCGUUUAAAAUUACUCGUCUGAUUUAACAUAUAACAAAAUAUCGAAAAUACUAGUCUAAAAUACUUGCACAAAUAAAACAUAAAAAAAUCCUACAACUAUCUACUCGUCAUCAUCGCUCUCCUCGUUUCCUCCGGUUUCAUUUCGUUGUGGCAACGAACGAAACCAAUCUUCAAGUGCAGCACUACAUGCCAGAUCUUUUAACAUUGUUUGAAGCAUUUCCAACUACAAAUAAAACAACAGUCUUAUAAGUUAAAAUAGCAUUAUAACAUUCUAUAUACAAAAUAUACAUUCCACAUAUUGCGUAUAAAACAUUAUAACAUUGUACUAUAAGUAACAAUUACCAAAUUUUGAAACUAUUACUAAACUAACAAUUACCAACAUUUUAAACAAUUACCAAAAUUAAAUAGUCCUGUCACCUGUGAUUGUGGUGGUGGCUGUGUCAGUGGUUGUUCCUGAUCGUACAUCGACACAACCGUAGAAGGUUUACGCCCGAUGCCUCUGAUAUGGCCACGUCGAACACCUAAUAUUUUUUCAAAACAAUUUUGUGUAUCCUUUGGUGUUAGACCGCUGGCUUCAGAAGAUGCUUGAGUUUGUUGACUGAUCUCAAAGAGUAAAGCAUUCUGUAUUUUCAAAAAAGAAAUAAAUAUAAUAAAAAUUAGAUUACUAACUACCCUUUGACGAUAUAAUCACUUAUAUGAUAAUAAAAAUUAACCACUUACGUAUUGUUGCUCGACUGCAGGACUACUAAACACCCCUUGGCGAUCAGUAUUGGCCUUACGAAAUGCUUCGAUUCGAGCGAUGUCCUAUUUAACAUUAAAAAUUAGAUUAAUUAUAAUUUAAAUAAACAGUUAAAUAUAUCAUAGCUUACUUCUUUGAAACAUGCAUUGCUAUACGAGCACGAUCCCCCUCGGUUUACAACUUGUUGUUGUGCACGGACUCCUUUGUUUGACGCCGAACGCUUUAGAAAUUCAGGAGUUUGAAAAUGCUCGACUGCUUGUGCCCAAUUUUCACGUGACAUACCAUCGGGGGGGUUGGCUAAUGCCCUUGGGAUAUCUGUAAGCCCCCCGACAUUCUCAAAAUAAGUAUGCGCUUUAUUUUUUUCAGCCUCUAUAAAUUCUUUGCAAGGUCGCGUCAAUGCUCUGCAACAACUGAGCACGCUCGGGAUCCAAGUUAACUUUAUCUAAAUCAAACUUAUUCUACAAAUACAAAAAAGUUAGUUAGUUAAAUACCAAUUAGAACUAAACUUAAAAUAUUGUCCAAGUUACCUUUAAAUGAACCACUGUGGCAUUCCUUAAAGCGGGGGAACCAUUAUCCCAACCAGAUACGUUCAAAGGGAUGUUCAUCCAUAUAUACUUCCCAAUCUCACGGGUAAACCAAUUACCAUGGUUCCCGACAGGGGAAUAUGUCAGCUCCCUAUUGAAAUCCAAAUCUACAGGCUUUCCCUUGUUUGCCCGUAUUAUCUUUGAUAGUUGAAUAUUUUUUGCUAGGCCUCUUCUUUUUUUAGGGAGCUCAGCUGAAAAAUAUAAUUAAAAAUAUUAGUCACGAUAGCUUAUAAUAAAUGGAUAAAAACAUCUAACAAAUAUAUCAUAAUAAGACUUAUCAUCUUGUUCCUGUUGACCACGACCAAAGCCUAUGGGAGGUGGUGGAUCCCCGGCUCCAUCACCUCCAUGUCCUAAACCCAUAACAUCUGCCAUCACGUACAAGAGUAUCGCCCAACUAAACCCCAUAUACAACCUGCAAAAUUACAAUAUGAAUAGAAUUAUAGCAACAUAUUUUUUUUUCAUUUUUUUCAACACAUCACAUACAUAAAUACAUUUUUUUCAUUUAUUCCACAUAUUAUAAACAUAAAUACACACGUUAUAUAUACAAAUACACAUAAACUUGUUUUCUACACAUACUCAUUAUAACAUCAUACUUUUUUUUUUCUAUUAUAGCAACCUAACUUUUUUUGAUUUUUUUCAUACAUACAAAUUGCAUAUAUAAUUUCAAAACUCAUACAUUACAUAAAUAAAUACAUUUUUUUUUCGAUUUUUUCUACAUAUAUACAUACAUUAUAUAUACAAAUACACAUAAACAUGUUUUCUACACAUACUCAUUAUAACAUCAUAUUUUUUUUUCUAUUAUAGCAACCUAACUUUUUUUGAUUUUUUUCAUACAUACUAAUUACAUAUAUAUUUCAAAACUCAUACAUUACAUAUAUAAAUACAUUUUUUUUUCGAUUUUUUCUACAUAUAUACAUACAUAAAUACAUACAUUAUAUAUACAAAUACACAUACUCAUUAUAACAUCAUAUUUUUUUUUCUAUUAUAGCAACCUAACUUUUUUUGAUUUUUUUCAUACAUACUAAUUACAUAUAUAUUUCAAAACUCAUACAUUACAUAUAUAAAUACAUUUUUUUUUCAAUUUUUUCCACAUAUUACAUACAUUAUAUAUACAAAUACACAUACUCAUUAUAACAUCAUACUUUUUUUCUAUAAUAGCAACCUAAUUUUUUUCAUUUUUUUCAUACAUACAAAUUACACAUUCACAUUCACAAUUAAAACACAUACAAAUAACAUACACAUACAAAAAAAAUACUAAUGUAAGAACACACAAAUGCAUAAUACACAUAUAAACACAUUCUAUUUAUAAAAUGAAAGAUGAAAAGGAACCUGUGGUAGUCUAAUUUCAAAAUUUUCCGGCAAAAAUUCCACAGAUCCGGCAACAACUCCGGCAACAACUCCAACAACAACACAACCUUAAAUUAAAAGGUUAAACUAAGUAAAUAAACAUCAAAACAUAAGAAGAAUCGGAAAUAGGGAAGAACUUCGACCUUAAAUGGGUAAAAAUUCCGGAAUUGAAGUAUGAUCGUCUCCUCUUGGUCGUCGGUAAUGGAAGUCUAGGUCGCCGAUAUUGGUAGCAAUGGAGGUUUGGACGGCGGUGGUUUGUGCAAUGGAUGUUUGGACGGCGGCGGCUAUGGUGUAAGAAAGACCGGCGAUAUCGAUGGAGAGGAUGAGAGAAAAGGCAGACAAAAAUACGCAGGAAAGAGCGAAUCGGAGGGGUUAUCUGCACAGACUUUUAGCGGCAACGCCUAUUAGCGGCGACGAAUGGGUAUUAGCGGCGACGAAUGGGUAUUAGCGGCGACAAGCCUGGAGGGAAAAGUCAACGCCUUUUUUCACGUCGUUACAACCGUUCGAUUGAAUACAGAUUGAAUGGAUAGGGUUCAUUUGACGCAGAUCGCUACUGUUGAGUAUUAGCGGCGACAGUGGGCAUUAGCGGCGACAUGUAACGCGUCAUUUACAUGUCGCCGCUAAUGCCUAGUGUCGUUGCUAAAGCCGUCGCCACUAAUACCCACAUUUCUUGUAGUGUUAUAAGAUUAGCAAUUGAAAAGGGAUUAUCUUUUUAGGUAUUUUGUAUUAGGACAAUACCACAAACUCAAUGCACACUAGGUGUUUGUAAAAAUGCUAACAUGAUCGUUAAGUUGUUGAUUUCUCAAGUUUUAACUUUGAUUAAUCAAGUUUAUUGAUUAUUGUAGACAAAGGGUGGGCGAAAAGCUUGACAAGUAAACCAUGGGACCAAAAGGAGCUCAUGCAGUGCCAACUCACAUCAACUAACACACAAUCUAGAAGAAUUCAAAAGAUAUGGUACAUGGUCAUCCAAUGGCUAAGGGAAUCUUAUUCUGGCCCAUUGGUGGCUUAUAUGUAUGCACACAAACACAAUCUUGUAACAAAUAUUAUGACAUUCUAAGAACAUCUAAAGAUGAUGAAAAGAGGGACGGUUCUUGUUCCCAACUAACAAAUUAGUUGUUAUUUUUAAGGGGGGUUCAUGGCCAACGGUCUUGCAAAAGACAUUGUAAGGUAUUGCUAAACCUGGCCCUAAUUUCGAACUUUUUGAUCAGGAAGUCGUUAGUAAUGAAAAAUUAUGAUAUUACUUAUGGUUNUUUUUUUUUUUUUUUUUUUUUUUUUUUUUUUUUUUUGCAAUUUAUUCUCAUUUUCUAUGUCCAUUACUUUCUUUUUAAAUUACAGAUCAUACGUGGAUAUAGAAUGCCAUGAAACUGUUAAAUCAAAGUUGAAGAAAUUCUCAUUCUUGAACAACUUCAAGAGGAGAGCAUCAACGGUAAAACAAAGAUUCAAAAUUUAGGGUGUUUUAUUGCUUUUAAGUUUUGAAUUUUGUAUAUCUUGAAUCACAGUAACUGGUGGAGUGGAUAAAACAAGGAUUUCAUAUGUGUGUGCAUAUGCAAAUCUAUCCGGGAAAGAUUAAAUUUCAUCUGUUUUGUAGGUAUGUUUAAGAAGGAGGCGUCGGAUGCAUUCUCUUCCGAAAGACGAAAUCAAUUUUCCGGACCUUGUUAUAGACAAUCCAUUAUAACCGGUAGAGUUUAUUUAUUUUUAUUAAAAUCGAUCACAUCCAUCCUCCCAGUUAAGUACUUCACAAAUUAAAAUAGAUGGGGUAAUUUAUUUUUAUUGUUAAAAAUCUAUUCAAUUAUAUGCUUUUCAUUUACGAGGCUUUCUAAAAUCUAAGAAUUUCCGACAAAUUACCUUUGAAAUUUUACUAUCUUCUUUUUUCACAUAACAUGUUUGGCAAAAUGUCAAACCAAGUGUGCUUGUAAUAUUGGUGUAUGUAGGAUACAAUUCCUAUUUUUGCACAUAUUAUGUUUGACAAAAUGUCACAAUGAAGUUUUAUCAGGUUUUCUUACAUAUUUUACAUAAGUUCAAUUAUUUUACACCAGAUUAUCGCAUCUGUAGUCAAUCCAAUAUAUUAGUUGAUUGAUAAAAAGUUUCAACAACUUAGGUCUUUCAUCUUUUGUCCUGUUUAAUAGGCUUUAUCUUCUCAACUUGCCAUCUCAUGUGUGUGUGUUUGUGCAAAUCAUAGUGUAUAUGUUAUUUCAAUGGCUUACAAGCUAUCCAAGAGAAAAAUUUAUGAUGAUUUGCAUUCAGUGCAUAUUUAUUAUUAUUAUUAUUAUUAUUAUUAUUAUUAUUAUUAUUAUUAUUAUUUGGAAAUGAGCAAAGGUGAAAACUUUAACAGAUUAGCAAUCUAUUUAUCCUUUUUUCUUCUUGUACCUUGUUGACACAUAUGAAAGCUAAGUUUUUCUGGUCAAUGUUGGCUUCUGAUUUUGUUGAUUGCGAUGCAUAUUUUGUCAGCGGAUCAUUUCGAAGAGGAACAUUAGCAUGUUCUCUGGCCUUGUCUAGGUUGAUGACAAGGUAUAACCUUAUAUUCUUUAUGUAAUAUUUAUUACUUUAAAAUCUAUUUUUUUUAUUAAGAAGGUUAUAAUGGGUUGGAAAUGGUCAACUUCAUGUAAGGUUUCACAUUUAUGUUUGCAACAAGUAAAAAGAUAUUAAAUGAAAAUAUAACAAAAAGUAAUGCACAUAAGGAAUUACUUAAACUAUCUUAUGGGUACUUGUUAAUCUUUGGAUGGAUGACUCCCACUCUUAGCGAACACAAAUAAGAAAUGGUCAAAUAAAUACAAGAUUUUUUGUUCAUUGCUGCAAUAAGUAAACAUACAAAAUUAAGAAAUAAAGUGGAGCCUGGUGAAAAUUGAGAUUCAUUUUAUGAGUUCUUGAGUGGUUUAUGUGACUAACAUGAGUGCAUGUGUUGUUGAUUUAUAUAUGCAACAGGAAAACAUAGGACAAAGGUGAAGCAAACCACGCUGCUAGGGAGCAGCUACUUGUUGAAUGAUAGACAAAUAAUUUAUCAAAGCAUAAAAGUUUUAGGCCUCAAAAAGCAUGCUCAAGUACUUAAUUCAUGAAUCUGUGUUGAUUUGAUGCUGCAAUCACUGACUCCUGGAAAAGCCUAGGACUUCAACUAAAUAUAAGAAAUGCCAAUCUACUUUAACUAAUUAUUUAUUAGAGCAUCCUACUUAUAUAGUACAUCUAAAAAUUUACCAAUUAAUGGAAUGUGAUCCAAAUAUUAUCGGUAUUUUUCCUGGAAUCACUUACAACAAGCUUACUAAUCAAUUCUUUAGGGCCGUGAUUAUGACGGCCAAAAUAAGGUUCCUAGUAUAUAUGUAUCGCUUUCACCAAAUCACUUUAAGGAUCUUCUACAUUAUAUCAAUAUUAAAUAAGGUUAAUGUUAUUUUUGACCAACCAAUUAUUUACUUUUAUUUUAUUUGGUCGUUGAUAUUUUUUAUGCAUUCUACAUUCUUAAAGUGUCAUUUUACGUAUAAGAAAGUCAUUAUUAGAAGGAAUAAGGGAGUAACAUGUCAUAGAGUUGAUACGGCUUGUGAUAUGACAUUUUAAGAAGCAAAACUUAUCAACGGGUGUUACAUGAUGUCCAUAAGACCUUUUAUAUUUGAUUAUAUAUUUUCUACAAUUCUUCAAAUUAUUAUUGUUAUUAUUAUAAACUUUAAUUCACCUCCCACCUCCUACCUCUUACCUCCCCCACCAUUAACAUCAUUGUCAUCGUCCGUUACCAUCACAUCAGCCGAUUUCCUCCACACAAAUGCACACAUCCGUCUGAUAAAGAUGAUACUUCUACUUUUUAGAAUCCGCUUUUGACCGCACCAAACACACACAUUUGUCCAUUAAAGAUGUUACUUCUAAUUUUCUGAAUCCAUUUUCCUUGACACCAAUUCAUCUAUUAAAGAUGUUACUUCUAUUUUUCCGAACCAACCAAUAUGUCGAAAUCAGGAAGCCAAAUUGGAAAAUGGAAUCAAAAGAGAAGAAGAUUAAAAAUAUAAUUGUGAAUCAAAAGAGAAUCCAAUUGUAACUACAUGGCAAAUGAGUCAUGUCGUGUGAAAAUUUAAACGGGUUGAAAAUGCAUGGCACGAACACAACAUGUUUAAUAAACGGGUCAAAAAAUGUCAACCUAGACAUGACACGCUUAAACAUCUCAAAUCGACACCACAUGACUAACCCGUAUAACCUAUUUGACCCAUUUAACUCAUUUGACUCGCUUAAGUAGUAUUACACUGAAGUAGAUUUAACCCGUUUAACUAGUCUAACGUGAAACCAAUCCUUUUUUAAAAUAUUAGCCAAUCAAUAUAACAAAAAUUAAUUCACUUCAAAAGCCGCUCCUUGACUCUUAACUCUUAAGGAAGCCACACUUUCACGAGCCAGCACUUAUAAGUGAGUAUCCUCAAUGCCUCUUAAAUCCUUGUACAUCCAUGCAUUUUAUAGCUACAUUCAUCUCUUCCACUUUUUUAAACCAAGUUUACCUUGUGUUUGUCCGAUUGACCGGCAAUUAUAGAAUUUUUAUAUCUAAUCAUUCUCUAUCCAUUUCAUAACAUUCAAGUCCUCAAUGGUCACAUACCUCAAAUCCCAACUUUCACAAAUUGACAACUAUAAUACGGAACCAUCAUAAUUUUCAAAUUUGACUUCAAUAAUCUUAUAACUAAUUCUUACGAUCAAUUCUAUCAUUAUUAUUUAAUUAAUUAAAUUUUAUUUCAUUUAGUUAAAUAAUUUUAUUUUAGCUUCCUAAUUUUUAUUUUUUACUAAAAUAGACAAAAAAAAACAUUUCUAAGUUAUAAAUGAGAAUUUUACAUUAAUGAGGAUGUUACAUUGUCCUUGUGGUUAGGAGUGUUCAUAACCGGAUAUCCGAAAAUUCGGAUAUCCGAAUUUCGGAUAUCCGAAAUUUCGGAUAGUUGAUUUUUGGUAUCCGAUUCCGUAUCCGAAAUUUCGGAUAUCCAAAAUUUCGGAUACGGAAUCGGAUACCAAAUCGGAUAUCCGAAAAAUUGAAAUUUUGUUAAAAUUUGAAAAACAUAUGAAGUUUUUAAGUUAAAAAUACAUAUUUUUAAAUUAGAAAGGCAUAUGAAGUAAUAUAUGUAUUUAAUUAAUGGUGUUAUCAAUAUGUUUUAGUUACUAAAAUUCAUAUCAUAAGACAUAUGCGACUAAAAUAACAAAUAAUGUAUAAAAUAAAACCAAAAUUUUCGGAUAUCGGAUAUCCGAAUUAUCCGAAAAAUCUGAAAAGCAUUAUCCAAUUCCGAUUCCGAAAAAUUGGAUAUCCGAAAUUUCGGAUAUCCGAAAUUUCGGAUAUCCGAUUUUUCGGAUAAUUCGGAUUCGGAAUUUCGGAAUUUCGGAUCGGAAUUUCGGAUACGGAUAUUUUUGAACACCCCUACUUGUGGUAUGAUAUCCGAAUUUACCGAACAUAUGCUAUUUUACGACGAGUUCACUUCUAUAGUGAAUUAGUUUUAGACAUUUAGUUACGUAUUUUCAAAUUUUGACAUCAUGAUUUAUAUACUAAUAUUGUACAUCAAUAUUAUUGUAUAUAUUAGCUUAGUCGUGGGUUAGUAGAGUUUUGAUAUAUUUUUCAUCAAAAAGCUAUUUCACACUUAACUAAGUUUUGAAGAUGAUGCUUAUUUUGAAAACUUCUCAAAAGGAUGGUAGGGUUGUUAUAUGUAAUUAAAGAAAGUGUUUAUUGUGGUGAAUAUCCCAAAAAAUCCCCUCCAUUUGUAUACACCAAAUUCGUAGGGACUGAAUCUGGUAGCUUGUAAUACUAAGAGGGUUGAAAUUGACAUUUUCUCUACUGGACGGUAUCGAAGUGCGCUCUUUCAAAAUCGAACUAAAUAGUAAAUACUUGACAUUUGGCCCGCCAAAGUGCUAACCAGUCGAUUGAUCCAUCCAAAGUUUCAAAUUAAGCAUUGUUAGCGAUUGUUCUCAUUUGGAAAUUUUGAUUCAUGAUCUAGCAGGAUUUUAUUCUUUUGUAUUUGUGAUUGUCGAUUCUGUAUGGUGUGAUUCUGUAGCAAUUUACAGGAAAAAUGACGCAAGAUGUUGAUAUGAAAGAACAACAGGUUCCGGCGUCACCUUCGAGCUCUCUUGAAUCUAUGUCUCAUCGCGUUUUGCAGCGUAAGAAUGUCUAUAAAUUUGAUUCCGAUGAUUGUUUUAUUUGAUCAUAUAGUUCGUUUCUUGAUAAACUUGAUUUAAUUUCUUUGUUGUGGAACAAUUGAUGUUAUAAAAUGUGUGCGUUUACUCUACCAACAUCGUUUGUUUUUAUUUACUUAUUAGAGUUGAAAUUUCGAAUUCUUCAUGGAGAUCAUGUGAAAAUUGGCUUUCAGAUUUUAAAAAAAGAGUUGUUGAACUGAUUGAGGGCGGAGCUUACACUGGUAAAGUUCGUUGGAUUUUGAGAGCCGUUAGCAUUACAAUCGUGUUAAGAUGGCGGUUAAAAGUUUCUGUGAUCUAUCCGUUCCUUAAUUUUGCCCUUACAACUGGAUCGGAAGCACACUCUCGUUUAAUUUCAUUUUUUCCAAAGGUAGGUUACUUUUUGGCUUUGUGAAUCUCGAUGUUUAAUAAACUUCCAUUCAAUUAGUCAUCUAUUCUAUGAGGCACAUAAUUAAGCAUCUCUUUCGCGAAUUUCCUUGACACUAUGUUAUAUAUUUCGAAUGUACAGCCCAAAGUAACGUGGAACUUGAUUUCAAAUACUUGUUGGUGAAAUUGAAAACAAAAUGAUCUGAAUGACAUAAACAUUUGCAUUUGGUUUGAUAUAUUAUAGGAUGAUGAUCAUGAGAUGGAAGUUGAUACUGCAUCAUCUGCAACUCAAGGUACUGUUAAUCACUCCCAUGAGAUGGAGAUCUACUGCUACUUCCUUGUGCUGAUAUUCCUAAUUGAUCAGAAAAAGUACACUGAGGUGAGCAUAUAUGUUUAGAUUACUUCAUCUUGGCAAUUGGUCAAUUGGUCAACUCACCUUCAUAUUAUGCAGGCUAAGGCUUGUUCUUCAGCAGGCAUUGCCAGUUUGAAAAACUCGAACAGAAGAACAGUUGAUGUUCUGGCAUCCAGACUCUACUUCUAUUACUCUCUUUCUCAUGAACUUAGCAACAGUCUCUCUGAAAUUCGUGGGUGAGUGACAAAAGGGUUAUGUUUUUCAAUUAUCAACUAGAUUGUGACCAAUCAUACUUUAUCAAUUUAUCUGGCUUGAAUAAGAUGAUGAUGAUGAUGUUUAAUUACAUGCAGUAAUCUCCUUGUUUUGCACCGGGUUGCUAGGUUGCAUCAUGAUGAAUUGGGGCAGGUUUGUUUCUCAAUUUUGUUACUGUGACUAGUUAUCUAUCAUUAUUAUUAGUAUAUUUAUUUGUUAUUAUUAUUUGUAUUAUUAGUAAUAUUAUUAUAAUCAAUGUUUCUGGUGAAUCAUUUUAUGUUGUGUGAUGAGCAGGAAAGACUCCUAAACUUGAUACUUCACAACUACCUUCAUUACAAUUUGUAUGAUCAAGCAGAGAAGUUUAGAUCAAAGGCACCACCUUUUGAAGGUCAUUCAAAUCGCCAGGUAAUUCUUCAUUUGAUAAAUCAUCAAUUCAUCCUUUGAAAGGUUCCAUUUGUUAAAAGGUUUGAUAUUUGCUUCAUAUGGAGGGUUCGAUAUUUGAUAUACAGGAGCAUUUCAUUAUUUUAUAUUCGAUAUUUGUAUUUUUUUACAGUUUUGUCGUUACCUGUUUUAAGCAGAAAGGAAUCUCUUCUCCAAGCUGCCCGAAAAGCCCCUGUGGAGAGAUCCCUUGGUUUCCGGGUCCAAUGCAACAAGUGGGCCAUCAUUGUUCGUCUACUUCUUGGAGAGAUUCCUGAACGAACCCUUUUUAAGCAGAAAGGCAUGAAGAAUGCAUUGAGGCCUUACUUUGACCUCACAAAUGUAAGUUCACUUCAAUUACAAUAACCCCCAGUUCAGUUGUAACUAACUAACUAACUAACUCAAUUCUGACUUUUGACUUCGACUUGAAUAGUGAAAUCCAUCAAGCAUGUAAUUUGACAAAACUGGAUUUUGUUCAUUUGGCAACCGAACAUGUCACGGAACGGAAUCUCGAAUUCCAAAUCCCGUGAACCAAACAUGCCAUUCCAUUCCAUGGAAUCUCUAAUUCCUUCAUUUCUUUUUUCAGGCGGUUAGAAUUGGAGAUCUGGAACUAUUGAAAACUGUCGCCGAGAAAUUCUCCACCACUUUCACCUCCGACCGAACCAACAACUUAAUCGUAAGACUCCGCCACAACGUCAUAAGAAACAGACUCCGCCACAUCAGCAUCGCAUACUCGCGUAUCUCCCUUGCUGACGUGGCAACCAAGCUCCGACUGAACCCAUUAAUUGCUGAUGUGGAGAGCAUCGUGUCAAAAGCCAUCCGUGAUGGUGCCAUCGAUGCCAUGUUGGAUCAUGCAAACGGGUGGAUGGUUUCUAAGGAAACGGGAGACAUCUAUUCAACAAACGAACCACAAAUUGCUUUCAAUUCUAGAAUUGCCUUCUGCUUGAAUAUGCAUAAUCUGGCUGUACGUUCCCUUCGCUUCCCGCCAAAUUAUCAUAAGGAGCAACAGGUCGAUAGCGAUAGCGAUAGCGAUACAUCCGAUGAAGAAUAUGAUGACGAAUAUUGAUUUGCUUGUAAUACUCCAUCUCAACGUUUUUACUUUUAUACUAAAACUAAAACUAAAUCUGAACUGAUGAUAGAACAGGAAUUGAAUGAUUGAACUGGAAAAAGAAAAAGAUUAGUUCAAGGAUAUACUAACCUAGGCUACUAGCAUUGACCUAACCUAUCUAACAGAAAAUGACCUUAUUGCCCUCACUAACUUUACUUUAGCCGCAACCUAAAGAAAUACACCCAAGACUCGAGCAACAUCUAUUCUUAUUAGAAUAUUAUGUUUUGAAAAAGGUACCCGUUAACAUAAAUAAAAAAUUGUUUUAUAUUUAGAUAACAUUGUUAUAAUUAGAAAAAAAAAAAACAACAUCGUUAUAAUUAGAAAAAUUUUCAAAAUACAAUGCUAUAAUAAAUAAAUAAAUGAAAGUAGGUUGUUUUCAAACAUGUUAAAAUUGUAUUUCUAGAGGUCUUAUGUUUUCUCUAUGAUCUUGUGUUAUUGGCCUCAUCUCCUAUUUCAGAUUACCUUUUGGGCUAAAUGUAAGAAACAACAAAGUAGUUUCAUUUAUUGGCUUUUUUAGCGUCUAGUUUCAUUACUUCUUACUACAAUAUGGAACUUGUAACUUUUUUCUUAUUAAGACAAUAAGACAUUGUACUUUGUAUUUUUAAAAAUCUACAUGAUUUUAGAAAUGAACAUUGUUUUUUAUUUGAUUGAAAUUGUUAUACUUCAUAGAUUCUUUAAAGUACAUUGAUGCAUAGGAAGAAAUGAGAGUAGGGUGUUAUAAUAAACAAAUAAAUCAAAGUAGGUGUCCUUUUGAUUAUAAUUUGUUGUUUUCGAAGAUGUUAAAAUUAUAUUCUUAAAUGUCAAAUGUUUAGGAUAUGAUCUCAUGAUAUGAGUGUUGUGAGAUUUAUCUCGUAAGCUAAAUGCAAAAAGUAGCAACAUAUUUUCAUUUAUUUGUUUAUUAUAGUUUUCUAAUUUCAUUUCUUUUGUUGUACUUUCAUUUUUUCUUUCUUAAAGGCCUAUUACCUCAAAAAAUGUAUCCUAACUCUUUCAACUUUUUUCCUUAUUAGGACAUAUUAAUUUUUUUACCCAAUUAUAGUAAUGAAAAUUACCUUGUAUUUGAUUGACAUUGUGACUUUCCAUACAACGUUGUACACAAUAAAAUGAAAGUCGGAUGUCAGAAUAAACAAAUAAAUAAAUUUAUGUUGCUAUCUCUCGCAUUUGAUCACAUUUCAUUGGAACUCUUUUAUUUUAGAAGUGAUAAUUUUCGAAAAACAUGACAUCCCGUUCUCAUAAUUGACGACUUAUCAUAAUAAACAUUCCAAAACAAACAAACAAACAAAACAAAACAACACCCACUCGCACCUUUUUUGAAUGGACGCUUUAAGGCUUCUUUUAAGUUGAGGGGCUAUAAUGAAUUAGCCCACUAUAAGCGUCCGAACCACAACUCACCUUUGAUUCUCAUAUCGGUAUCUGCUUUAGUAUGCAUAACAAGGUCCUUGGGUCUAGCCCAACUCCCACAAGGAGGAAUGGAAGGAUUAUAGUUUGGAAGAAUGGAAGAGUUUUGAUAAAUAAAGAAAACUUGAAUGAUGCCGACUCAUUAAAUUAUCUUGCAUUGUGAUUUUAUAAUAAGAACGAUUUAUUUUGAAUAGGGAAAACAAAGAUAAUAAGUCAUAACGAGUAAUCAUUUAUUUUAGUACGUCAGUAAUUUUGAUCAAUUUAUUUAAAGGUUAAUAUAUUCAAAUCAUAUUUUUCAUUAAUGAAUUGCAUGUACAAGUAAGCUAUAAAAUAUGUCAAAUGACAAAUAUUGUCUAAAAUAACUUUAAAUACACAUCAUAUAUCAGUUUGCUAAAAAAAAUAGCAUUUUGUUUUGUUUUAAUAAAUAAAUUUAUAAUGAUUUUCAUAUGGUGAUUUUUAUUAAAAUCCAAAACAACAAUUUACCUAUUUUAUUUGGAAAUCAAAAUAGUCAUUGUUUCAUACGAGGUCCGUUCUAUCUAGAAUGUAUUCGAGGAUUGAUAUCGCUUCGAUGUGUUCAACUUUGAUGUAGAACCAAGAUGACACUAAAAAUGAGGGUUUAUAAACAAAUACAGAAGUAUUGUUUGAUUGAAGCAAUGGUAUGGCGUCCCACAUCGGUGGCUCCAACGAAAGUUGUUGGGUUUAUAUUGCUUCGCCUUCGAAUAUUGUUUGUCCCUUCGGUUGCAUCCGGUAAAAUUGGAAUGAUACAGAGAAGAUUAGAAUGACCCCAUGUCUAAUGGUUUAGGAAACCAUGUUAAAAAAGCUCCAUGAGCUUAUCAAUAAACAAUCUCGAAUUGUAUUUUAAAAAUCUAGCUUAUAAGUAAUUUACCGGAUGUAUAUUAAUUUUUCUUGAACUAGAAACAUAAGUUUAAGUUGUUAAUGCAAUUUACCGGAUGUAUGUUAAUUUUUCUUGAACUAGAAACAUAAGUUUAAGUUGUUAACGCAUUAUAGUACAAUGAGAUGUAUGUUAAUUUUUCUUGAACUAGAAACAUAAGUUUAAGUUGUUAACUGAAAAUAGAACAAUNUAACGCAUUAUAGUACAAUGAAUGUUAAUUUGUUACAUAGGAGCGGUCUGGACGACUGGAGUAUCUUUCAAUGAAAAUGAAAUAGUUUACACAACUUAUUAACACUAAACUUACCAACAAAUUUACGCAAAUUUAAAACCUACAAGCUACAUUACCAUUAGACUUCGAUGACUUGAAACUAGUGUUGUUCGAGGUGGCAGUUGACAUCCUAUAACUUUUUGUUUAGGUCUGGAAGAUGUUCUGCUAAGUGAUAGUACUGAUUUUUUUUUUAAGGGAAGUGUAUUAAAGAAGCUUAUGCACACUUUGAAAAAUACGUGGUCAAAGGGGGUGCCACAUGGUUCCCUCUCAUUCCUUUAAAACAUUGAAACUUUAUGGAUCCACUGGAUCCAUAAAGUUUCAAAUUAUCUACUAACUAAAUUAUCAUCUGAUUGAAGCAAUUCUAUGGCCUCCCACAUUGGUGGCUGGAACGUAAGCGUCUGAGUUUAUCAAGCUCCGCCUUCGACUAUAAUUCGUCCCUCCGGGGACAUCCGAUAAAAUUGGAACGAUACAGAGAAGAUUAGCAUGGCCCCUGCGCAAGGAUGACACGCACAAAUCGAGAAAUGGUCCAAUUUUUUUUUUUUGCCCUAGUUCGUUCGACCGAUUUUGCAGUUGUUUUUGGCCCUAAAUCGUUUCAAAGGAAAACCAUGGUGUUUGUUCGACUCACCGGGUACGAUUAAUGGCUUCCCUCGUUGUUUUCACCCAUAGCAGCUUGCUCAUAACAAAUGAUAUGAUUCGUUGUUUAUGGAUGUAGAUAGAAUCAAUGUAUCGACCGAUUUUGCAGUUGUUUUUGGCCCUAAAUCAUUUCAAAGGAAAACCGUGGUGUUUGUUCGACUCACCAGGUACGAUUAAUGGCUUCCCUCGUAGUUUUCACCCAUAGCAGCUUGCUCAUAACAAAUGACAUGAUUCGUUGUUUAUGGAUGUAGAUAGAAUCAAUGUAUUUGUUUUGGAGGCAGGAUAAGUGAAUCACUGUUAAUAUCUAUGCCUGAAUUGUCUGGUAGCAGUUAAUAAUCAAGCAUGAAGUUUGUUGAAGUAAUUUCGUCUUUAGAUGUUGAAAUUGGGGUUUUUCUUGAGUGAUUUAGUGUAUUCAAAUGCUUGUCAAAAUGCAAAAAGAACACCAAAUUAUGUGAGUGAGAAUCAGCUAUGCUAACAAUCUUACCUUUGCCAUUAUAUCAAAGUAGUUUUAAUAGUAAAAGUUACAACAUUCAAGAAUCUGUAGAAAAGUUACAGGCUUACAGCAUUCAACAUUCAACAAUCUGUAGGCAAGAAAUCAACUCUAUGAGUACUAAAUUCAUCCAUCAAGAUCACUAAAAUAUACAAGAUUCAUAGAUUACUAGAAAACAUCUCCAUAAUCAUUUGACAUAGGUCACCAUUGUUUUUCACCAAUUUACAUGUCACAAACCUUGGCUCACAUCAUUACUCAUUACAUGAAAUGCAUCCACAUUUUCUCUCUGUCUCUAUAAUAAUAAUAAUAAUAAUAAUAAUAAUAAUAAUAAUAAUAAUAAUAAUAAUAAUAAUAAUAAUAAUCUUCCAUCCAGGGUUUCAAAAUGAACCAUUUGAGUUCCCUAAUGUACUUACAUCAUUUUACCCAUAAUAACAACACACUUACAAAUAACAGUACAUUUGCUUGUAUAGGUAACAUGAGUGAAGCAUGUUGCUAUUCCCUGUAUUGUUCCCUAUCAAUUAUUCAUAUUUUCAUAUGCUUUUGUAGGCUACUUCUAUAUUCUUUCAUUGUAUACAUUGUUUACUGCUUUCUAAUAUAUAUGUUUCUAAAAUGUUAUGUUCCAUCACAUUUAGUAUAUGUGUGUCUUGCAUUUAAUCCCAAUAAUUGAUGAUGAAUACUUGUGUCGUGUUUCCUUCAUCCCGUUUUCAUGAAUUUGGAAUUGAGUAGGGUUUGUUUUCUCGUAAUUUAAGGUAUAUAUAAUACAUUUUGUUAACAAUAAAAAAUUUCUUUCAAGUUAUCAAAUGCAGUGCAGGUACAACCUUUAUUGUUUUUUUUUAUCUGCAGUUGUCAUGUACUCCUGCAUAACAAAUGGAGCCUAGUGUUUACACUUCUUACCCAUAAUUUCUUGUUUUUUUUUCAGGCUGUUAGAAUCGGACAUCUCGACCUUUUCAAAACAGUUGAUGAGAAAUUCUCAACCAGUUUCACAACAUCAGCAUCUCCAACUUUUGUUGCUUUCUGUUACAUAAUAUUUUCAAUCUUUUUUUUUCUUAUCAAAGCAUUUUACUUUGGGAAGUGUAUCCAAAUUAUAUAUGGAUAGAUUUCAGUUUUUCCUUAUAUGACGCUUGUUUUCUAUAGAUGGGUAGAUUACUCAAAAUGUAAGGUUGUAUAGAAAAAAUAAAUGAAAGUUAGAAUGUUAUUAUAAACAAAUAGAAUACAGUUUUUUUUUUCUUGUAUGUAACCCUCACCUUUUUAGCCCCUUCACAUCUUAUUGAAAUUCUUAUAUUUUGAAAGCGGUAAAUUAUUUAAACAAAUGACCCUCAAAUCACUUUCAGUCCUAGAAAUGCAUUCCCCUUGCUGUUGGGACUAUCCUUGGAAAUUGUUUGUGGUAUCACAUCAAGUCAGAAAAAACGGUUAAAUAAUAUUUCCGACUACACAUGUUCAUGUGAACUUUAGGUGUGGGAACAUUAAACAGUCUACUUGAAGUUAAAUAAGGCUACAAAUACCAUCAAAAAAAGAUCCAACAUGACCAUUAAUCUUUAUAGAAGGCAAAACGUCUUUGCAAAUAGAACCAAUAUCAAAUACAUCAUGUCGACAAAAGAGAAUAAAGUAUAAUGCACAUGACGUUUACUGACAAGUCUCUGUGUUAAGCUGUUAGUUAGUGAAGGUAGGUUAAUUUUGUAUGAAAAGGGGUCAAAAGUAUGAGUUGUUAGUUUAUUAGUGCAGUAAACACACAUGAUAACUUUUAGGAGGGUUAUGCACAUCAAUUUAAUAAUCUACCAUCUUUCAUGAAGUUCAAAACUUAAGUUAGUCAAGUAAUUAAGACGACAUAAGGUUAAGUUAGCUUAUCAUAGUUAAUGAACAAGAUGACUAUGAAAGGUUUGGACCAGACAAGUUUUGUCUAUAAGUUAAGGAAGAGGAAUUGAGGAUGAUUAUGAAAGGUCAUUCAUAUCUUUUGCAUAAACAAUAGAUUGAGAGUGAGUCAAUACACUGUCCUAUCUUAUUCUACCUACUUUUUGGAUGGGACAAAAAAUAGCAAUUUUUGUCGUGUUGACUUGAUAUGGAUUGAUAUGGGUAAAAUCAAGUGCAUAAUCGACAGUCUUUUGCACUAAUUACCAUGAUGAGAUUGAUCUUUUAGUCAAGAUUUUUACAACACUGAUCGUAGCAAUUUUCAACCUGAAAAAUGGUAUCUAAUUGCCUUUUGACAUUUUUUUGCUUAUCUGGCAUUACAAAUACCAAAUUUGAAUUUAAGCAUUACAAGUUUUUUGCAAUUAUGGGUAGAAAUUGGUACGUAUGUUGCUAUUAUUAAAGUACAUUGCCCAUAUCGUUAAAAGAAAGGAAUAACACAUUGCUAUUUCUAGCAGUUUUCUUAUUUUAGAACUUAAGAUAGUAAGCCAAAACUUGCAACUGAAACAUAUUAUGCAGACUUGAGAAGUAUAGGAUAUAAGGUUUCAUUGUACUAUGGAGUGAAUGAAAUCUGUAACAAUCUUAGUCAAGGUUUCAUUGCCAAUUAAUCAUUGUACUAUGCAAAACAAAUAUUAAUGCAUGAUGCUAAUUUGAACUAUUGUAAACUUCAUAACCAUUUUGUAUCAUUUGAGAAAUGCCUAACUAAAAUCCCGAUAUAAUUUGAGCUAUUGAUUUGUUUAUCAUAGCAUGAAGUAUGCUGGCAUGUUGCAUGAGAGUAGGAUGCUAAUAAUGUGUUAUCAGAGUUUGGACUAAAUGAGCUAUUAGAUUUAAAAUAAAAAUUAGAGCAUGUAUUUGAGAAGCCUAAAUGUACCAAAAGCUUAACUGAUAAAACUAAUAAUAACAUGAUUACAAUCUUGUAUUUGAAUAGAAAUGGGGCACGUCAUUAAUUAUGAAUUUUUGAUAAUGUUUUUUGCUUUGUUGUAAGGACUAAAAUUCAAGCAAGGAUAGUUGAUGUGGCUGAUGGUCAAAACAAAGAUAAAAAGAGGAAGCUGAAAGUGAUAAUGCUCUGAUCUUGAAGGACUGAAUCUGGAAGUUUACGAAACUGUAUAAUGUGAAAGUUAAAAAAGACUUGUUUUAAUGGAAUGAGAUUCCUUAAAGACUAUACAAAUAUUAACUUUCUAAUUACGAACCAAACAUGUAUUUUCCCAUUCCUUUAUAACAGGACCAUUUAUUUCUUGAUUUGUAACGGUUGAGUUUGUAAUAAAAACUUUUCAUCCUUCAUAAUUAAGAUGUAUCAUUUUAUAAAAAUGUCAUUAACACAUGACCAAAUACUUGAAAAGAUUUGCAAUUAAUGAUCAUUCCGUUAACCUCCAACAUAAUAGAGAGCAUCACAUACAAGAAUUCAAUCUAAAAAAACUUCAUCUCCAUUUCCAACUUAUCCAGGAACUAGUCAACUGACUACAAAACUGGAAAGUUUAAAUGGCUACAAAACUGAAAGUAGGAAAAAUCAUCCGGUGUUUGUUUUACAAUAAAAUAAUAUCCGACUAAGAUUUCAACCCCGUGACAAUUAGGCUUAAGAAAAGGCAAUCAGACUCCUUAAAUAUCAUUAAGGCUAGACACUUGAUCAAUUCAAAUGGUAAAGAGAAAUAGAAAUCAAACCAUAAAUACCACGAAUUUAACAUGGUCCAAAGCAGCCUAAAAAUAAACUGAACCAAAAUGUCGUACACGUCAUGCUAACAAGAGAGAAUCUAGAUAUAAUGCUAGACAUGAAUGUAAGAAAUAAAUCAACAUCCACAUAAGUUAUAUUAUAACAACAAUAGAUAAAAGUGGAUGACUUAAUAUUAUAAAAGUCCUAAAUUUUUAACGAGUAAUUGGAAAAAGCCUUAAUAUUUUUUUUUAUUAUUGUUGUGGUCACAACUUUCUCGCAGAAUUAUCACUCUAGCCCACUUAACGAGUUUCAUGGUUAAGUUGGUUAGAUUUUUUUGCAAAAUUAGUCCUAAAAAGUUGGUUAAAAACUAUGUGGUAUAAUUUUUUUAAAACCUCAGCGACUAACACUCUAGCCCACUUAACGAGUUUCAUGGUUAAGUUGGUUAACUUUUUUGCAAAAUUAGUCCUAAAAAGUUCAAAUUUAGUCGCUCAGGUUUUAAAAAAAUUAUACCACAUGGUUUUUAACCAACUUUUUAGGACUAAUUUUGCAAAAAAUUUAACCAACUUAACCAUUAAACUCGUUAAGUGGGCUAGAAUGAUAAUUCUGCGAGAAAGUUGUGGCCACAACAAUAAUAAAAAAGAUAUCAGGGCUUUUACUAAUUACGCGUUAAAAAUUUAAAGCUUUUAUAAUAUUAACCUAAAGUGGAUUUGAUUGAUGUUAUGCCAUCGGAGUCCGUUGCACCAUGAUCAACAGUGUACAAUCCUUGCUACAAAGUGUGUGGCUUUUUUGGAUUCCUAAUAUUACCUUGUUUUUAAAAUGGAUUUUUGUUACAUAUUAUUAAGUGUUGUGAAAUAUCAAAAGGAUUAUUGUUUACAAGAAUUGAAGGAUUUGAGAUAAAUACUCAAAAGAUAAAACAUAUUUAAUUUUUUGUAUAUUGUUUUUCUUAUUAUAUAUUUUGCAACAAGGAUGAUUUAUUUUAACGAGAAAAAAUGAACAAUUAAAAUGAGAAAGCUUUAAUUUACUUAUAGACAAAUGUAUUCGGAUUAUAAUUUUCAUUAAGGGAUCAUAUUGACAAAUUAAUAUAGAAAGUAAAAAAGGUCAAAUAAGCUAUAAAUUAGUCUAAAAAAAAAAAAACUAAAAUAUCUUUAAAGAUUUAUAAAUUAUAACUUUUGUUCACCCAAAACAUCUUAAAAUGAAUAGGAGUCGUCUUUUAGGUUUGGUGCAUGAUAGGAUUUCAUCAUCUUCACCUUGAGGUGGUAAAACUGAAAAGAGGAACAGUCAAAAUUAGGGCUUUUACAACCAAAUACUUUAACUAUCGUCUGAUUGAAUCAAUGCCAUGGCCUCCCACAUCGGUGGUUUGUACGCUAUCCUUUGAGUUUAUAUUGCUUGGCCUUCGAGUAUAGUUCGUCCCUUCGGGGACAUCCGAUAAAAUUGGAACGAUACAGAGAAGAUUAGCAUGGCCCCUGCGCAAGGAUGACACGCACAAAUCGAGAAAUGGUCCAAAUUUUUUUUUUUGCCCUAAUUUGCUCGAUCGAUUGCUCUUCAAAUUCUUUUAUGUCUGGAUUUUGAGUUGAUUUCUGACUCAACAACUUCAAAGAAAUACCGCUAAUGGAAAUCCGCUUCAACUUCGUGCCAUUGUUUGCCCUAUCUCGCUAAAACGGCUUCCAAAUUUUUUGUUUAGGGAAUUGUUUCUCCGAUUCACAAGCUACGACAAGGUACUGUUAAUGACUUCUGAUAAAAACUCUUACUUAUUUCUAGUUUUUAUGCAGCCUGUGAUGCGUAUGUAUAUGAUUCACAUAUAGAUGGAAAUGUGCUCCUUAACAUCCUUGAAUAGUUUGGUCGAAUCAAUUAAUAAUCAGGCAUAAGUUUAUGAUACAAGUUUGGUUUUUACAUGUUGAGAUUCAGACUUUUCAUGUUUAUCUGAUUGUAUUCGUUAAUUUCUGUUGGUUGUCUUUCUUCUAAUUGGUGCAACUUCUUGAUUUAUCAUAUGUCUUCAACAGCAGUUAACAAUCAAACAGUAUAUAAGGUUGCUUACUCUAACAUACUUUACUCAUCUUCUUUGUAGUUUAGAAAUUAUAAUGUUUAGUUUGUAUUAAAGCUUCAAGUAUACUUCUGCAAAAUAUUAAAUAGAGGGAAAGAAAAAAUGCAUCUUAUAAGCUUUGAUACAUGAUUAAGUUCUAUCACUUUGCAAUUGGGUACGUUUUUAUUUAUUUAUUUAUUUAUUUUUUAACUUGAGAAGAUUUAACCUGAUAAGCUAGGUGUUUCUUUUUAACUUGAUGCAUAAAGAAUGCCUUAAUUGAGAAAGUUUAAGUUGUAACUUUUUUUUGGUUAUACUUAUACCCUCCAGUUUAUCAUCUCUUAUACAAGCAAGAUAGAUAAUACUAUCACCUUAAUUUCUCAUUUUUCUAUCAAUUAAAUGCUUACACCAUCAACAUCGUAUAAAUUACAUUUUUAGUCAAAUUAGUUAACAUUAACAUCACAAUGGUUACCAAUGAUUUAUAUGAGCUAAUUUUGAUUAGAAUUAAAUGAAAAAGAAAAGAUGUGAAAUGUAAUUGAUUCAUUUCUGGUUUUUUAGCUUUCAACUUGUAAUAUGCUGUUGAAGUUCCCCUACUUCUUCCCUUUUGUUCUAGCUCUAAAUGCAGACAUCUAUAAAUGAGGGCAACUUCGCAAAUAACUAGGACUUAGUUUGAAAAGUCUCACUACCCUGCCAUUCUCUAUUAAUUAAAAAAAAAAAAAAGAGAUAUCACAGAAAGCACUACGUAUUUUCAUUAUCCAUUUAACCACCAAAGUACUAUUUCUUGUUGGUUUAGUCACCAAACUAUUAUUAUAUUAAUCAUGAAAAAGUAUUAGUUCAUGGCUGAAUCGGUAAAAUGGUGAAAUUACUUUCUUCUUUAUUCUAAAGCGGUUUACUGAUAAGAAUGGUUGUUUAAAGGGUUCAAAAAUAUGUAGUGGUUUUAAUUACUACUCAUAAUAGGUAAAUGGAUAAAUCGAUAAAUUAGUGAAAGUACAAGUUCGUGUAUGUAUUUUGGGCAUAUUUUGACCUGUUUGACCAAUUUCAUUUUCAGCCAAGUUUUUCAUUUUGACCCAUUGGUGGUGCAAUUUUAAGUCUCAUUUGCUGGACAAGCUUUCCAUGGAUUGGAUGUGUUUGAUAAGGAGGGCAUUCAUGUCUUUUACACAUUUUCUUGAAUGGAACAAAAAAUGCAACUUUUGUCCAAUUAACAUCAGUCCUAGUUCUAGACCCACCAAAUGUAGUACAAUAUGUUUUGUCCUCUCUUGUCUUGCAUUACAAAGCAUAUAAUCGAGGAAGACAAUGACGAUUUUUGAUAGUUUCAUUUCUCUCCUGUUAUGACAUUGUGGUUUCAGUAUCUUUCUUAUUAAGAGUUUAAGACAUUGUACUAUAGAAAAUGUAUCCAGUUAUGGCAUUGUACUUUCAGAUUUUUUUUCAUUGUUAGGAGUUAGGAGGUUGGACUUUGAAAAAUCUAACUUUAUAGUAAUGGAAAGUGUUGUAGUUGAAUAAGUUUGCUAUAGUAUGAUGUUGACAUGAAGGAAACAAAAUUAGGAUAUUGUAAUAAAUAAAUAAAUGGAAAAACUUAUUAUAUGAUAAUAGUUUACUGUUUUUGAACUUGUUAAAACUGUAUUUUUUUUUUUUUUGCUACAAUGUCAUGUGAUCAUUAAGAUGCGAGAUUACCUUUCAGGCUAAAUACAAAACUAGCAACGGACUUUCAUCAAUUUGUUUAUUUAGCUUUCCCAAUCUUAUUGCUUUCUACUUUAAGAUUGGGUAAAUUUUUCAAACUACAAUGCGUGAUAUGAGGAAAUAGAAAUAUGAUGUUAUGAUAAACAAAUAAAAUAAUGUAAGUAGGUACUUCUUACAUUCAACAACCCUAAACUUUUCAAUUCUUGCAUUCUAGUAUUUAUGUAUUUGUAAUUUUACAAGAUAUUUUGUUGUAACAAAGUUUUGGUUUGGUUGGUGUAUUUGGGUUUUGAAACCUGUUUAAGGUAUUUUGAUUUUGAAUAAAAAGAGAAAAGUUCAACCUAUGUUUAAACCAAUUAAACUAUUAAUGCAUAUUAGAAAUUCAAUACAUAUUUAUAAAUUGUGCUUUCUUUUAUUCAUUAAACUAUUGAGUAUACGUUAUUGUGCAUAUUGUUGUUCGUGUGUCCUAAGUACAAUAAUUCAAGACAAGUAAGCAUUUGUUUUAAGGUGUAAGUAAUUUUGAUCAAUUUAUAUCUCGAUUUUUUUUUUAUUAUAUAGACGAAACAUUUGAGGAAAUAAAAAGAUUAAAUGGGUUAGAUACGGUGAACAAAUCUAAUAUCAUCUAAAUUAAAAAAAUAUGCUUGACAAACUUGUAAUCUUAUGUAUAGGUUUGUUAAAAAAAAAUAUAAUUAUUUAAAUCAAUAGUUUUGUAGUAAUAAACUUUAUAAGUAAACAAAUUAUUUCGAUCAUUUGUUCCAAAUAUUUAACAUCUUGAUUUCUAGGUAUGAAAUUCUAGGGAUUUCAUGCAUUUUAUAAAGCCUACUCGAAGAGUUGGAGGGCCUUAACUCGUUGUGUAGAAACAAAGAAGACCGUGUAUUUUAUAAGACCUAUUCGACGAGUUGGAAGGCCCCAACUCGAUGAGUUGGUGGCUGAUUAUGAAACUUUAGUUUUUAGGGUUUUGCACCCUAUUUAAAAACAUUAAGUCUCAUUGUUGGCCUCCCUUAUCACCUCCCCUGUCCAGUGAAACCUUAAUUCAUGCCUCAUCUCUCAUUUUGAGUGUGUGUGAGCUUGGAGUGUAUUUUUGGUGCUCUUUUGGAAGGAACUUGAAGCUUGAAGAGGAUUAAUUGAGAGGAAGGCUUUAGAUCCGGGAUUUUCACUGUUGUUGCAACCAUGUUGAGGUAUAAAGUCGAUUCCUUGAUCAUUCAUUUGCUAGAUCUCUCCAUUUGAGAGUUUAUUGCUAUUAUUAGCUUAUUUAGGACCAUUCUUGGAUUUGAGCAUGUUAUGAAGCUAUAACUUCAAAUCUGGACACCUCAUGGCCUCCAAGGACUUAAAGUUGCCAACUUUAUCAAGUCUUGGCCCUCCUUCAUGCUCUAAGUCCCUUAAUAAGCUUUGCUUGAGUAUUUUAGCUCCAUAAUGCCAUGAAUGGAUAUAAAGUUAGCAACUUUACAUGGUAUCUUAACUCUAGGGGGCCAGAUCUAUGGUUUGAGGCAUCAGAUUCACUUGGGAAAUGCCUGAAUGUGCUAAGACUAGGAAAAAUUGACGAGUUGGAUCGGGGUUUCGUUGACCUUCUGGAUACUAAGCAAACUCGGCGAGUUGUUGAGAUGACUCGGCGAGUUGGCUAGGGUUUUCUCGGUUUUUCUGAAAAACUAAAGGAACUCGACGAGUCAGUAGAUGCACUCGACGAGUUGGUCAACAUGGACUGUUAACCUUAGCCGAUUGACUUUGACUUUGACCAUGGUUGACCAAGUCUGACUUCUGAGGGUAUUUUGGGAUUUUGAUGGAGAUAGUCACAUUGUGGUUAUAGGUGGUGGAGUUCGGAGCUUUGAGUUGAAAGUUGGAUCUUGUUAGUCAGUGCUGCUUUUGAGGUGAGUUUUCAUCACUAUACUUAGGGGUCGAUGGCACCAAGGCCGGACCAUUGGAUUCGAUAUCCUAGUAGUUGUUGAUAAGCUGAGUAUGAAUUAGAUAUGCAUGCUAGUUUGAUAUGUUAGUCUGGUAGAUCUAUAGGAUUACCUAUGAUAUUGUCUUGUAAUCUGUAUGUGUAUUUAUGUGUUACAUGUCGACAUGUUGUGUAGGUUGAGUUGAGGUUGUACUGUUCUGUGCUGUAGCUAACGUGUAGGUUGUACUCACCGUAGUAUGGCUCAGAAGUAUCGAAUCCAUUGAGACCAGGUGCAACAUGACUGUUAGAUCCUAUGUCAGGGAACCACGAGGUAGUAGAUGAUGUAUGGGAGCGAUGGUCAGCGUAAUUGGCGGAUGGUUGUUUCGUCCGAAGGGUUGAGGUGUCACGGUUUCGGCAUUGAGAACAAAUGUGCCCAAUACCACACCUAUUGCAGGUGCCAUAAAUCAUGUUCUGAUUAGAGGCCCAACUGAACUGACCCUGGUUUCCACCUCCUUGAGGACGAUCACUUUGAGAGUGGUUGUUGUUGUAUCCACCACGUCCUCCUCGGCCCCUAUUAUUAUUGUUAUAACCACAACGAGUUUGUUAGAAUUAUUGUUACUUGAUCAAUUUGAGUAGAAAGCUUAUGGUGAGCUUGGUUGUGGUUGAAAGCCUAGUUGGGCCACUAAUUGUUGUAGGGCCUGAAGUGUCUCCAGUUGUACAGAAGAUGAGGCGGUUGAGUUGUGGUUUGUGAUGGCAGCCAUAAAAGCCUGGGCCGGUGCUACUGGUGGGGAAUGUUUCUUGAUCAUGUAGUCAUGAUCAUCGAGCAAACCAAAGAGAUCGGUGAAGACAAUGGGAGAUCGCCUCCCAAGUAAGGUAGACUUGAAUCCAGUGUACUCUUCUCGUAGCCCUGCGAUCACAAGCAUAACGAGAUCUGUUUCAUCUAUUGGUUUUUCAAUGUUGGCGAGUGUAGCAGAGUACUCUUGUGCUCUGGUGAGAUAUGCUGCAGAAGACUCAUCACCUUUCAUCUCAAUUUUGAGCAGCUGUGUCUUGAGGGUAUAUUCCUUUGAAGAAGUGUGAGGUGUAUAUGCACGUUCCAAAGAGAGCCAUAGAUCACGAGAAGUUGUACCUUGCACAUGCUAAAACGCGGCCUCAAUGACAAUCGACAACAAUAGCAUUCUGAUGUGUGCAUCAUUCGCAAGCCAUGCUGAGUAACUCGGGUUUGGAGUAGGUUCUGCAUCUUUUUCUGUUGAUUUUGAUGGUAGGGUGGGUUCUGGGCAAGGAAUUGUUCCAUCAAUAUAACCAAAUAGGUUGUUUGUGACUAAAAAAGGUUGAAUUAUGGCUUUCCAAUACCCAUAAUUUGUAGGGGAUAGAGUAAAGUCGAACUUGUGUGAGUUGUUUUUUCGGUUGUAGAAAAGGAUGUUAUAGCCAUUGAUUUGUUGUAUUAGAAUAAUGAAGGUUGAUUCGUGUAUCUAGGGCAGAAUUGUGUCUGCGAUUGAAGUGCAUCAAACAGAUGAACUUUAAUCGAUUAGGUCAGCAACAUCAAUUUAUAACCACACUAGUUUUUAUCAGAUUGUAUCACAAGAGAAUCUUGGCGGCAAGGAUCUAGAAGAUUGUGAUUUCAUGUAUAUGGUGGGAUCGUUUAAAGGGAUAAUGAAUAGGAACAGAUGGUUUCGACUUACGAAUUAGAGUCGGAAAAUGAAUUUGGCGGCAAGAUUAGGGUAACCAGGCUAUGAUACCAUAAACGACUUUAGGUAUCGACAAUUGUAUUGUGUUAUUGUAUAUUUGUGAAUGGUAAAUACAAGGGAUAUUUAUAGGAUACAAUAUUACACAAUAAUCCCUCUAAAUAUAAGAUAGAUAAUAAUAGUCUAAUAAAAACAACGCCCAAUUUCUCCUUUAAUUGUUAUUAUAGCAAUCUACUUUCGUUUCUUUCUAUUACAACAUUGUGCUUAUAUACUCUUUAAAUGAUUACAAUAAUAGGAAGAAGAUUAUGUGUACUUGUCUCUACAUUAGGACAAAGAAAAUCCUUAUUGAUGGGAAAACAUCGAACUUUAAUUGACGAAUUAAUUGAAAGUAGGAUGCCAAAAUACACAAAUAAGUUGAAGUACAUUAUUAUUUCUUGUAAUUGGAAGUUUUUAGAUCGGUGAAAUGCAAGAAACAGCAAGACAUGUCCAUGUAUUUGUGUAUUCUAACAUUAAAUCUCAUCAAUUAUAAGAAUAUCAUGGAAAUACAAAGCAAUUUGUACUACUUUAAAUGGGUAAACAUUUUAAAAGUUUAAUAUUCUAAUUGGGUAGGUUUUUUCAAACUACAAUACCUUAAUAAUAAAAAAAAAAACAAAUGUACAAUCUUGCAAAUAGGAAACCAAAAAAAGUGGGAUCUAUAAUACAAAAAAAAGGACAAUCUUAAAUUUCUUUGUUUAGUUUGGCAUCCUACUUUGGACAGCUAAUAACAUCCUAUUUUGGACAAUUCUUUUUCUUGGGAAAGAAAGAUUAAUAAGUUAACAUUUAAUAAAGAAAUGUUUGGUCACCUGUGUUGUUGUUUAACAGCCAAAGAAUUUAAAAAGAUACAUGAAAUAAUAUUGUACUUUCAUUUUUUGUUAUCAAUCAAAAUCAUGUAAUGUUUAAAAUAUUUCUCAUAAAUAAACUUAUAAAUAUAAAUGGCUUAUCUUACAAAUUCCAAUUACAUUCUGUGAUGAAAACGAAAAAGAAACACCUCCCACUUAAGGUAUGAAAAUUAAGAAAAAUGAAAAUUGAUGUGCACAAAAGUACCCACUAAUUUUAAUAUUUAUAACCCUACAAACUUAACUAACUAUGCACUUAUAGGCAGUGUACCUAGUCAGAUUAUAGUAUAGUUGGGGUAAGUCGGUUGUCGAUCACAGGGAACGAUGUUACUAAUUAAUUUACUUACUAUUAAAUUAACCUAAUUAUUAACAAGUUAAAAGCGGUUUUAUCUGAUUUUAAAAGAUCAGAUGAAAUUAAAUCAAAUUAAAUAAAUAAAAACACAGUCUUGUUUAGUUUGAAUCCACUUCUUCCUUAUGACUAGCUAAUGAUUACGGAUUAUUUAGUUGGUUUUUAGUUGUAUUAGUAAUUUAGUUCUAACUUUACCAAUAAUUAACUAAUUCAUGUCAAACCAUGUAUGUUCACACAUAAUUAAACACAAAACUAAUUAUGAAUGUAAAUAUGCUAUGUAAGAUUUGUAAUAUAAACGUAAUUAUAGUCGCAAUACACGUUCUCUAGCACAGCUAAGCUUAUUUACGCUAAUUACUAACUAAGAUUGGUCAAUCCUAGCUCUAACAAUUUAAUGUUCAUUAAAUCAUUAGGUAAACAAGUUCAUACAGUUAAUGGUCACUAAGCUAUACAGAACAUGCAAUCAAACAAUUAGAGAAACAAACAAUAGCAUGCUAGGUAAUACAAAUCAAACACAAGCAAUUUUUACCAACUAAACUUAAUCCAUAAAAAUUGAGCUAUUCAUAAGUUGGAAGCUUCAUCUAGCUAAACAAGAGUAGCUAGAUUCAGCUGCUCAUCAUAGCAACUAACAAACCUACAUAAUUUGAAGUAAUAGAAAACAUGUUCUUAAUUAACUAAAAUAUAGACCUUUAUUCUUUUUGGUGUUGAAAACCUUCUUCCAAAACCUUUCUUUCGCUCCAAAUCGUUUCCUGGAACUCCUUCCUUUAGCCAAAAGGUUCUUCCUUUCGUAAUGAUCAGGAGUACUUAAAUAGACUCCAAAAUCCCGCACCACGUCGUGGCUAUCCAGGCCACGUCGUGGGCUUCAAGUUAUCCGUACCGGGCAAGGAAUCCUCCGAAUCACGAUCUUUAUCUUCUAGAAUCCUCAUGCCACGUCGUGGCCAACUUUUCCACGUCGUGGAUUUAGUAGCUUUCGUGGAUUUGCUCAUCUCUUGUCUUCCNCCAAGUCUCCCAUGUUCUACAUAUUGUCACUUUUGGUCCCUCUCUUCGAAAAUCCUUUUAAUUGACUGAAAAUAACAAUUUAAAGUCAUAAGUACCAUUAUUCUAAACAUAUUAUCAACUUAUUAAUAAAAAUGUACUUAAUUAUUGCCUAAAAUAGGUAUAAAUAUGGCAAUAUCAAAAUACCCCACACUUAGGCUUUGCUUGCCCUCAAGCAAAUUUAAACUUAACUCUUAAUUACUAACACCAUAUAGAACAAUCCGACUCUAGCUCAUCCAUUAUGUCAAGACCUCAACGCAUGCAUUUGUAUCUAAAAUUUUCCUAAAGUACCCCCCAUACUUUAAAUACUCACAAUCUUCAUAAACACUCGCCCACUUUUUCCGAACAAUGCUCAUUUUAUGCAACCCUCCGAAUCCAUCCGCAGAAAACCUCCUUAUCCUCAAGGUAUUUUUAGUUGAGCAACCUAAGCAUACAUAAUCUAGAAUUACAAUCUAUGAUACCACUAUGGAGCUCUUUUGGAAUUCUUCACUUCUUUGACAUUUGAUCUUUGAUUUCUUUGAAUUCACCACCUUUGUUGUUUGAUCUUUGGUAUCUUCAACUUUUUGCAUUUCUUGGAAUUUUGAUAUUUUGAUCUUCACUUUAUUUGCUCCAAAAUUCUUCAAACUUUUCUCGUAAUUCACUCUCUUUUUUUACAUGUACCUCACUUUUUCCACUCAAAACCUACAUGCUUAAGCAGAGGCGCUCAACCUCAACCUUUAUCGGUUAAUGAUAAUAAUUUUCCUCGAUAAAUUUCAAGUUUAGGCUGCUAAACAUAUUGCAUCCCUCAAACCAAGCGGGGUUAUGUUUUUGUUCCAUGAUUUCACUAAAAUAAGGGAGGCCACAAAUGCACUAUAACGUGUAUUGGCUCAACUAAACAUUUGAACUUUCAUCGGAUCAUCCCACAUAACACUAGCAAUUAUAAUUCAAAUUAUUAUUACUAGAUUCAAUUAUUAAAAAUUUCAAUUUUUACUAUCAAAUUCUAUGAUUAUCUAGCAAUUUACUUUUUCUACCCCUACCCCACACUUAUUUCAUACAAUGCCUUCAUUGUAUGCAUAAAAAUAAAUCAAAAUUAAAGAAAAUGGAGAAAAAGGAACAGACUCCUCUAGGAUAGUGGCGUGAGCAUCUCCAAAAGUGUGGAAAACGUGUGUCUUGAAUAUGGACUCCAAAAAUAGAAACUCGGUGUAGAACUGGGUGAAUAUGUUAAUAAACCACGAACAUGCCUCGAAACUUAAAUUCUUCAAAGUGGGUGCUAGUAAGUAGAAAUGUGGGAAAGGAUACACGUCGUGGCAGAAAGCACCACUUCGUGAUAUAAGAUGAAAACACGAACAACAGGCUGCUUUAUUCUUCAAGUUUCAUGAGCGCCACGACGUGGCGUAAGGAGCCCACGUCGUGGAAACUGGACAUCACACAAAAAUGCGUUAUUCCUUCAUGCAUCCUAGCAGCUUGACCAAUGGCUAAAUGGUUUAAGACGCUUCUAUGUAAAUAUACUUCCCAACUGUAACCUCUCUCCUACUAACGUACCCCACACUUAUCUUGAAUUGUGGGUUCCAACUCACGACUCUAAGCUUCCUUGACUUGACUAGACAAACACGACUCUAGAGUUAACCUUAUAUGCUCCUUAGAAUUCCAAUGCUAAUCUGAAAAAUGGAACAACCCAAAAGAAAUAAAAGAGUAACAUCAUAGUUCAAGAAAGUUUUACAUUACAAACCAAAUUCAAACAUAAAAAAACUACUUAAAACAAAAUAAAAUAAAAAGAAAAGAAAAGAAAAUCAAUCAUCAUCUCCUUGGUCCUGCGCUCCACUUGGUCCUGCCCUGUCAUUCUACGGACGCCAAAGCUCCUCCCAUGUUGGAAAAUAAGGAUACUGUGGUGGCAUAGAAGGUGGUCGGGUCACACCCAAAUGCGAAUAAAUACCCAUGAUAAAUGGCAUGCCCCCGGAGAUUAUCCAAAUAAGUUCCCACCCGACUCUGAAAAGGGUCGGUGGGCACUCCCUGUACAUACUGUGAAGUAGCACGCUCUCUAUCGACCUCUCCUCUAGCUCGCACAUUCCGACACCGCGGUCUGGCUGGUGGUUGAUGCCUUAGGUGCGCCUCCUCUUGCUCCUCAUCUAUCGGCGGUAUAACAAAACGACCCCCGACAUUCACCACUACCCGCAUAACUCCCAAGACUUGAAUGGUCAAAUCAGUGUCCAAGAAUCGAGUAAGAUUCCUCACAAAGUCAUGGGUCAAAAUAUGAUAUGACCUAGCAAGGCGAGUAACCAAAUCCCCCCCCCCAAUCUGACUCCCGGGCCUAGAAUUAGCCGCUUUCUUCCUCAUGAACCUCGCCAACAUAUACGGUAAAUCACAACAAACCCCCGGGGUAAUCAGAGUCCAUAGAUAAAACAAAUUAUGAAUGGGGACUUUAUCACCAUGAUGCUUGUGAUUUAUUGAAAAAGUGAUCAGGCGAUGUAAAAAUCGGAAAACAGGAUUUCGAAUUUGUGACUCACUCGAGUCACGAGUAUUAUACUCAUGGCUAGAAAUGCCCCGCCAGAACUAAACAUCCAUAAUACCGGGAUUAAAAUCCCCAACGCAUCCAAGUAAGAAUGGUAUGAAAAACGAAGAUUGAGUCUCCACUUCGGUAUAAAGCCCCAUACGCCAAGCAAAUUCCCAAAGACUACACUCUCUAUAAACACCACCCAAACGAAACACAAGUGCCCGGUUGUAAGUAAAAUCAAUGGUGCGUUCCUCGAAGCAUACGGUAGAGAAAAACUCCACCGAUAAUUCCCGAUAUACGGGCUCUCGAAUUGCAAACAAAUUCCUCCACCCGUGACAAUGAAAGAAAANAGAAAAUUGAUCCCCUUCGUAUGUUUUCGAUCAAUAGCGUUCCAACUCAGCAACCAUUCCCACACCACCGAGCCAUCCCCAAUCGAUAAUUGGGGCUAUCGCAAAUUCCCUAUUGUACAGCUAUCCCAACCGAUUCUCAUAAGUAGUCAACAAUGGUCGGGGAAUGUUUUGAGGACACUGAUAUAAGGGAUGUAUACUCGCCACAUCAAUCGGAUUUUCCUCCUGUGGAAUAGCUCUUCAUGGUCCCAUUUCUGCAUACAAAAUCAAACUAAAGCAGCAAACACCCAAAACAUUAAAACAAUUUAAACUGUCUGCCAGAAGUCACGACGUGGCCAGGCUCGCCACGUCGUGGACCGCAGUCGAACCCUGUGUGUGGAUCAGCCAGUUUGUAUGCGAUUUCCACCAAAAAUAAUGCUUGGGGUUUGUUCCUAUGGACAUUUAAGGGACAUGCAACCUAGAAUCAACAACUAGUUUCAACCAAUUUCGUGAAUCACAUAAACCCUAACCAUGAAAAUUUAAAAUUGUAAGAUAUAACUACAAUUAAUGGGUAGAACACAUACCAAGUAGAGUUAAUUGACAAGAACUUGCAAGGAAAUUGGAAGCAAAUUAAGAAAUUGGCUGUGGGGACCUUGUUCCCGUUCGUGCGACAGUAGCAAAUGAGGAAUGGGGAUUAUUGGUCAAAGGGUUUUAAGGAAAUGGUCCCCCCCGUGACUUUUUAAAGGCCACGUCGUGGCUGGCUGUGCCCACAUCGUGGACUUUGAAACUGUCAUUUGUUCCCGUGAUUUCAUUUUUACCACGACGUGGUUGUAUCAGCCCACAACGUGGCAAAUGCCUGAUUGCAAAAUUUUUUAAAAUCAUACAUUUUAACUAUCUACUUUGCAUCUCAUUUAUUAAUUAAAGUUCCCACAGCUAAUUCUUUACUAAGUAUCAGUUAUUGGAUGAUGAGUUGUUAUCUUUCCUAAUUAAAAACUCAAAAAUUAAAAGAACAGAAAAUGCAAACCAAACUCGGGUUGCCUUCCGAAAAGCGCUUCUUUUUCUUGGAGUCUUGAGCUGGACUCCGUGCCUUCUACGUUGAAUCUUCUGAAGAGUCCACCACUAAGAUCUUUUGUUCCUUGAAUCGCCUCUUGUAAGCUUGAACUCGCCUUUUAUAUUCCUUCUUUGAAUUCUCUUUUUUAGCUUUUCCCUCUUCUUCAAGCUUGCGUUUUGUGCCCUUAGUUUGUUCCUUACACUCCAUAGCAUCCUCCUCCUCUUUCACCACCGACUUUUUCACUCUUGAAGUGACCUCCUCUUCAUCACUUGUCAUCUCCUCAUUCUCUUUGCUCACCCAAGAAGGCGGACUCUUGUAAGCUAUGACUUCAAUCAAAUAUGGAACAAAUGCCCUCGGUUUUGCUCUUUUGACAUGAUGAACUGCCUUGAUCUCUUCUUCCAUAAGCUUUUCCAGUUCUUCUAGUUCAUUGUCUUUGUUAAUUGUGAACACCUCUUCUUGAACAUGAUCCUCUUGGAAGUCAUCUUGUAUUCUAAAAACUUCUUGUUCAUCUCCAACCCUCAAAGUGAGCUUAGACUCACGAAUAUCAACAAGAGCCCCAGCAGUGUUAAGCAAUGGACGACCAAGGAUUAUUGGAACAUCGGGAUCCUCUUUCAUAUCCAAAACUACAAAGUCUAUUGGAAAAAUAAAAUUUCCAAUUUUCACCAAAAUAUCCUCCACGAUGCCCCGGGGUUGUGUCACUGAACGAUUCGCCAUGUGAAUCUUCAUUUUUGUAGCCUUCAUCUUUUGAAUUUCUAAUUUUUGAUAAAAUGAAAAAGGCAUCAAAUUAAUGAUAGCCCCAGAAUCGGCUAAAGCAUUAACCUUCAUUUUAUUACCAAAAUCACAUGGAAGAGUGAGGCGUCCAGGACCCCCCAUCUUUUCUGGUGUCUCUCCCAACACGGCUUUUGAGGUUUGUUCACUUAGAACCACCUUAGACUGCUUCUUUAAAUGUCUGCGAGUGUCUAUCAAAUUUUUGUAGUAACUUCUGAUUCUCAGGAGUUUUGGAUAAGGACUCGACAAAGGGAGUAUUAAUCGGGAUCCCCUUCACAUGCUUUACAAACUCUAUAUGCUCCUUCUCCAGUACACUAAGUGUAGCUCGGGGUGGAAAUGACAAUGGUGGCUGAUAAACUGGAACGGGUUCAAAGACUUUUUGAUCAUACAUGCGCCAUGUCGUGGCCAGAGGAGUGCCACAUCGUGACGAAGCUGUUUCAACAAACUUUUCACUUUCGAACUUUGGCUUCUUUGGUUCUGGAUCGGGCUGCUGUGGUUCUUCUCCCAAUGCCUCCAGGAACUCAGAGAUUGCUUCUUCUUCAGUAUCGAUGGCCAUUACGUGAGAUUGGGUCUUUACUUCGGGAUUCUUUGGGAUAAUUUUUCGUGAACCAGAGUGGCUAAUUGACCAAAUUGUACUUCAAGGUUAUGGAUGGAGGCUUGCUGAUUCUUUAUUAAAGUUUGUUGUUCCAUAAUAGCAGAAUCAGUGGCAUCGUGUCUCUUUUCCGAAGCUUCCAUAAACUUCAUCAAAAUGGUCUCUAUGUCGGGUUUCUUCUCGGCUGGUGGCUGCUCCUUUUGAUAAAGGCCUCGACCUGUCUGCCUAUACUUCUCUUCUUUUUGCUUCUUAUACUCUUCAUAUGGCAUCCACUCCUUCUUCGGUUUCCUCCAGUCCUCAUCAAACUUAUCCCCACUAGAGUAGCACACUUGAGCUUUCCUGUUCCCAAACUCAUCUACAUUGUAGUCCUUGGUCAAGUGUGGACCACUACAUCUCUCGCAACCCACUCUUAUGGCAUGUUUUUACUGGUCCAUUUGUGUUAUCCUUCGAUCCAUCUUAUUCAGCAUGGCCAUUACAGCUGCUAUUUCUUCAGUUUGGGCCCCUCCACUGCCUUUGAUUCCAUCUUGCCUAGGGUUGUGGUAUUCGCGAGAGUGCUUCGCGAAUUCUUCAAUUAGCUCCUUGACCUCCCUUGGAUUUUUCUUUGUCAAAGGUCCUUGAGAAUCAAGGAGUUGUCUUGUCAUAACGUUGACCCCAUCAUAAAAGAUUGACAUCUCUUGNNNNNNNNNNNNNNNNNNNNNNNNNNNNNNNNNNNNNNNNNNNNNNNNNNNNNNNNNNNNNNNNNNNNNNNNNNNNNNNNNNNNNNNNNNNNNNNNNNNNNNNNNNNNNNNNNNNNNNNNNNNNNNNNNNNNNNNNNNNNNNNNNNNNNNNNNNNNNNNNNNNNNNNNNNNNNNNNNNNNNNNNNNNNNNNNNNNNNNNNNNNNNNNNNNNNNNNNNNNNNNNNNNNNNNNNNNNNNNNNNNNNNNNNNNNNNNNNNNNNNNNNNNNNNNNNNNNNNNNNNNNNNNNNNNNNNNNNNNNNNNNNNNNNNNNNNNNNNNNNNNNNNNNNAGUGACUUUAACCACUCCUUAGCAGCUCCUUUGAAAGUGAUGGGAAGCAUCCUAAGCAAGACUGUGUUUCUGUUGACAUUUGGGACAUUGAAGUAAUCCGCAAUGUCGUUGACUUCAUCUAGAUGCUUAAAAGCAUCCUCAUGAUCUUUCCCAAAAAAUGGGAUAUCCUUCAGUGCAGUCAAUAUGUGCCCCUCCAACUCGAAUGUGGCAGUGGCAGGUAUUGCGGGUUGGACUAAAUCGGGACCCACAUCUUCUCGGAUCCGCUUCUUGUAAGAUCCCAUGGACAUCUCUUCAAUUGCUUCCAUCUCGUUCCAUGGCUCGUUCUCGGGUUCGCUCACGUGUUCUUCAAAUUUCGGCUCGGUAUCGCUUUCGUACUCGGUUUGGACGGGCGUAUGAUCCAAAUGCUCAAGAUUGCUCUUGUGCCUCGCGGAUGAACUUGACUAUCCUGUCUUCUUUCCCGACUUCCUUGAAAAAGCUGACUUCAAUUCUUGUAAGGGCGUCUUUUUCUUGUGAAUUGCAGACUCGGGAUCUUCAAGUGGUGGCACCAAGGGUGUGUUUAAGCUUCUGGUCAUGAACUCCUGCAACUUGCUAAACUAAAAACGUAAAACUGAACUAAAAUAAGAAAAACUAACUAACAACUAAAAAUCUAGUUUUUUUAAAUGUCCACGUCGUGGCAGGUAGCUGGCCACGUCGUGGGCUCUAUGACUGACAGAAAAAAAAAAUUAUAUUUUGCUGAAAAAUUAACUUUUUGUGGUUUUUACUCCACAAGAAGGAUCGAUUAAUUUAAUGCAAAUAAAUAAACUAAAAACUAAGCCGUUCCCCGGCAACGGCGCCAAAAACUUGAUGUGCACAAAAGUACCCACUAAUUUUAAUAUUUAUAACCCUACAAACUUAACUAAGUAUGCACUUAUAGGCAGUGUACCUAGUCAGAUUAUAGUAUGGUUGGGGUAAGUCGGGUGUCGAUCACAGGGAACGGUGUUACUAAUUAAUUUACUUACUAUUAAAGUAACCUAAUUAUUAACAAGUUUAAAAUGGGUUUUAUCUGAUUUUACAAGAUCAUAUGAACUUAAAUCAAAUUCAAUAAAUAAAAACACACUCUUGUUUAGUUUAAAUCCACUUCUUCCUUAUGGCUAGCUAAUGAUUACGAACUAUUAAAUUGGUUUUUAGUUGUAUUAGUAAUUUAGUUCUAACUUUACCAAUAAUUAACUAAUUCAUGUCAAACCAUGUAUGUUCACACAUAAUUAAACACAGAACUAAUUAUGAAUAUAAAUAUGCUAUGUAAGAUUUGUAAUAUAAACACAAUUAUAGUCACAAUACGCGUUCUCUAGCACAGCUAAGCUUAUUUACUCUAAUUACUAACUAAGAUUGGUCAAUCCUAGAUCUAACAAUUCAAUGUUUAUUAAAUCAUUAGGUAAACAAGUUCAUGCAGUUAAUGGUCACUAAGCUAUACAGAACAUGCAAUCAAACAAUUAGAGAAACAAACAAUAGCAUGCUAGGUGAUACAAAUCAAACACAAGCAAUUUUUACCAACUAAACUUAAUCCAUAAACAUUAUAAUAUUCAUGAGUUGGAAGCUUCAUCUAGCUAAACAAGAGUAGCUAGAUUCAGCUGCUCAUCAUAGCAACUAAUAAACCAACACAAAUUGAAUUAAUAGAAAACAUGUUCUUAAUUAACUAAAAUAUAGACCUUUAUUCUUUUUGGUGUUUAAAACCUUCUUCCAGAACCUUUCUUUCGCUCCAAAUCGUCUCCUGGAACUCCUUCCUUCAGCCAAAAGGUUCUUCCUUCCAUAAUGAUCAGGAGUACUUAAAUAGACUCCAAAAUCCCGCGCCACGUCGUGGCUAUCCAUGCCACGUCAUAGGCUUCAAGUUAUCCGUACCGGGCAAGGAAUCCUCCGAAUCGCGAUCUUUAUCUUCUAGAAUCCUCAUGCCACGUCGUGGAUUUAGUAGCUUUCGUGGAUUUGCUCAUCUCUUGUCUUCCAAGUCUCCCAUGUUCUACAUAUUGUCACUUUUGGUCCCUCUCUUCGAAAAUCCUUUUAAUUGACUGAAAAUAACAAUUUAAAGUCAUAAGUACCAUUAUUCUAAACAUAUUAUCAACUUAUUAAUAAAAAUGUACUUAAAUAAUGCCUAAAAAUAGGUAUAAAUAUGACAAUAUCAUCCUUCAUGAAUGAUCUAUUCCAUUCCUUUCUCAGAUGAUCCGUUCCUUUAUCAGAUGCUUCAUUGAAGUCAAAGUGCCCCCAUUGAGUUCCAAGUGUUCCAUUGAACCCAAAUGCUCCAUACGAAUCUCCAAAUGCUCAAGUCACAUUUAACAGAAUAUAAAAUAAUACUAGAAUUUUUUUUCUAUACUCGAAAGCAGAUUUAUAAUAUUUGUAGAAUUCCCAAACCCUUCAUCGAUUUUUUUGUCUCGCAUUUACAAGACUGAUUAUGAUUUUUAAGUUCAUAUAAAAUAAUAUAUAAGGGUAUAUUUGGAAAUCACAUGAAAAAAGCUACAUGAGCUUAUCAAUAAACAAUCUUAAAUAGUAUUUUUAAAAUCCAAUUUACAAGCUAUUUUAUUAGUCUCACCAAAUGCUACAUAGUUUCAUUCAAGAAAACCUCCAAAAUCUUUAAGCAUACCCAUUAUUUCUCGAUCGAAUUCCCCUCUCCAGCUAUCAAUGGCCAUAGCCGGUUCUACCCCCGAUUAGUCAUAACAAAAUCAAAGGUGCUUAACACCACCAAAGAAACCCUUGGUGACUGGAACCUCGUCGGAAAGCAAGAACACUAAUCGACUUUAGGUAUCGACAAUUGUAUUAUAUUAUUGUAUAUUUGUGAAUAGUAAAUACAAGGGAUAUUUAUAGGAUACAAUAUUACACAAUAAUCCCUCUAAAUAUAAGAUAGAUAAUAAUAGUCUAAUAGUCCCCCACAAGAUAAGGCUGAUUUCCGACUCUUAGCUUAGACUUCAAUAAAAGGAGUCUCUCAGCAGGUAAAGGCUUUGUAAACACAUCGGAUAUCUGAAUGAAAGUCAACUUCCACAUUCUUUGUUCGGGCAUGGAAAACAGAAUUUGCAGACAAGUAUGUGGCACCCAGAUUAUCAAACUAUAAGUUAGGUAUAGUAGGCAUGAGAAUACGAAUUUCAUGUAGUAAGGUCUCUAACCAUGUUAUUUUAGCCACUGUAUCAACUAAAGCCUUGUACUCAGACUCGGUGGAGGACCUCGAGACAGUCUUUUGUUUUCUUGCAUUCCAGGAAACUAAAUUGGAUCCGAGAUAGAUAGCAACCCCCCNNNNNNNNNNNCCCCCCCGGUGGAUUGAUGGUUAUCCGGGAAGCCUGCCCAAUCAGCAUCUGAAAAGGUGCUCUAGGAAUUAAACGUGACAUUAGUAUAGGCAUAUAAAAUAUUGGGCGAUUGAUGAGUAAUUCGCAAUCCAUGAUCGCAAGUGCCCUACAAAUAUCAUAAGAUGCGUUUCACUUCUGACCAGUGGUUUUCGGUGGGGGAGUGCAUAAAUUGGCAGACUUUGUUAAUUGCAUAGGUAAUGUCGGGCCUCGAGAGGGUUACAUAUUGCAAAGCACCUACUAGUUGACGAUAUUUCACCGGAUCAUCGAAAGGAGGGUUAUCGCCAAGAGUAAGAUUGGCUGUUGUUGUAAUAGGAGAUGGAACGAGUUUGGAUUUUGAUAACCGAGCAUGCUCCAAGAGAUCCAAAAUGUACUUGCAUUGUGACAAUAAUAUAUCCUGACCAUGCCGUUGAACCUCUAUACCCUAGAAAUAUGUUAACGGACCCAUAUCUUGGAUUGUGAAAGACUUGCUUAAACUGUGAACAACACGAUCAAUUUCGCGGGGAUUGUUUCCUGUUAAAAUAAUAUCAUCAACAUAAACCAACAUAUAUAGAAGUGUGCCUUUAGUCGAAUAGAUAAACAAGGAUGGAUCUGUUUUGGAUCCUCGAAAACCCAAGGCCAUCAAUGUUGUAGAAAGGCGUUGAAACCAUGCCCUCGGUGCCUGUUUGAGUCUAUAUAAGGACUUAUGAAGGAGGCAAACAUGAUCAGGUUUUUGUGGGCCAACAAAACCAGGUGGAUGUCGUAAGUAAACAAUCUCUUUCAAGUUACCAUGUAAAAAGGCAUUUUGGAUAUCUAGUUAGCGAAGAGACCAUUGUUUGGUGAUGGCAAGAGAAAAAAACGAUUCUAAUUGUAUUAGAUUUAACUACCAGGCUGAAUGUCUCAGUAUAAUCAAUGACAGGUUGUUGGUUGAAACCUUCUGCUAUGAGACAAUAUUUGUACCUUGUAAUGGUACCUGUUUGAUCACUUUUUACUUUAUAAACCCAUUUACAAUCGACCACAUUAGAUCGAGAAACAGAAGGAACCAAAGUCCAUGUACCAUUCCUCAAAAGGGUCGAAUACUCCUUAGCCAUGGCCUGAUGCCAUUUGGGAUCUUUGUUGGCAACAGAAAAGAAUGUGGGUUCAGAAGUAGGAGAGUUUUUGUGUAACGCCGUGAUUUCCAAAAACAAAAUUUUCAUUUAAAUACUCAAUUUAAAAUUAAAAACACUUGUUUAAAAUCUUAUUCACAUUCGAAUUACAAAACAUAGUUUCAUUUUCAUUAUAAUAGAAGCCAGGAUCCUCCAAAAUACAACUCUUUCUUCGGUGUGUACAAUCGAACCGUUGCCAUCCCGCGUUACUGAUAGAACCUGAAACAACAUAACAUAAACAACGUAAGCACGAAGCUUAGUGAGUUCCCCAAUAUACCUUACGCACAUACGCCUUCCGGCCCGGAUCUUUCGAUCCACAUAACAUUGCCUUCCGGCCCGGACCUUUCGGUCCACAAGAUAAUUGCCUUCCGGCCCAUACACAUAUAUAACACAUAAUACAAAUACUCUAACACAUAAAGCACAUAUAUCAUAUAUCAUACCUGACCUUUCUGUCACAUAAUACCUUGCCUUCCGGCCCAUAUAUAAGCAUGUAUAUCACGCGUAGCAGCUAACUUUCCAUUUAUAGCAUAUAAACAUAACACAUAACAUACUUGACCUUCCGGUCACACAAUCAAACCCUUCCGGGUGAGGUAUAGUGAGAAGACUCACCUCGCGGACACUAGAAGAUAGCAACUCCUAAAAUCCCUUGCACUUGAUCCUCCGAGCUACAAGCUCCCUGUAACAUCAUAUAUCCCUUAUUUAAUACUUCUAUCUUCCACGUUAACUGACCCUAAGAAAUCACACCAGUCAACUCUGGUCAACAGUCCAAUGUCAGCUCGACUGGACUCGGCGAGUUCCCUGGCGACUCGGCGAGUCUGGUCGUCCUUCAAUCCUCUAAGAUUCCCCUUCUACUCGUCGAGUAUCCUCUUUGACUCGACGAGUCACUCCUGGAAGAAUCGCGGGGCCACCCCGACUCCACUCGCCGAGUCUGAAGAACAACUCGGCGAGUCCCAGUGAAUCUUCAAGCUACUCGCCGAGUCUGAUCAUCCGACUCGGCGAGUCCACGCCAUGCAGUCGAUCCAACUGCUUCCUGAGAUACGUUUUUCCCGAGAUACACACUCAUGGGACUUCUGGACCUCUAAUCAUCCUAUUACUAGGGUAGAAACCUUUGUAUAACAACAUAAUAAUCCAUCAAAUCUCCAAAUGGGUUUCAUAAACCCUAAAUUCGUGUACACAUCAAAAUAACAGGAAUGAUCCGAAACCUUACCUGAAAACAUACUCUCUGUGUCCCCAAACCUCAGAACUCGACCCCCUUGCUCUUCCUUUGGCCAAAAUCCUUCCUCUUCUUGCACCACAAUUCCUUCAAAGUCAAUAAUGGCCUUCAAGUUUUGCUCCAAAUGCCACAGUCGUCUAGGGUUCUCCACAAUCGGCCAAAAGACGUGAAAUGACGACAUAACAACCCUUAAAUACGACCCAAUACGAAACGGCUAGGGUUUCUGCUGAACAGCGUCGACUCGCCGAGUCCAUACCUGGACUCGUCGAGUCCAGUCGCGAACCCGCGACCAAAUCUGCGACCCUACUCGGCGAGUCUGGCUCCAACUCGCCGAGUCCCCCCUUUAAAACACCCUAAAAUGCAAUUUAACAAUACUUGAGAUUUUGGGCUGUUACAAUUCUCCCCCACUAGAAUUAGACUUCGCCCUCGAAGUCUCACUCUGAAAAUAGUUCUGGAUGCUGCUCCCGCAUCACACGUUUCGGCUUCCCUAAACACUUCCGAUAUCUUCCGAGGUCGCUACUGAACCAAUACCAGAGGUACCUCCUUGUUCCUCAGAACCUUGAUCUUCCAAUCUCCGACGGCCACUGGCCUCUCGACGUAACACAGGCUCGCAUCCACCUAAUUGUUCUCUAGUAGGACCACUGCUGACUCAUCCGCUAUACACCUCUUCAGUUGCGACACAUACAAGUGUCAUGGAUCCGUCCCAAUUCCGUUGACAGCUCCAACGAUAGGUCACCCUUCCUAUCUUCGUACCUUCACGAAAAGACCCAACAUACCGGGGCCCCCAUUUACUCCUCCUCCUAAAUCGAAACACCCCGCCAGAAAUACGAAGUCGCCGACCGGAAUCACAUGCUCGUAACGACGUCUGCCUGCAUAACUUUCCUGUUAACUCUAGACGAUCACUAACUCUCUUUAACCUGCUGAUUCUGCCCUGCCAACUAAAGUACGAACUCUGAACUGCUCAUCACUCCCUGCAAUCGGAAAUUACCCAAGAUGCACUCUGCUCCAAAUCUCAACGAUCACUCAACCCAUAAGGGUUAGGAUACCCUGAACCACCGGAUUCCCGACCCAAAGCCCACUUUGUCCAUUCCGGACCGAAUGAGAGAUCCAUUCUCACACUCAGAUCAACUCUCACAAGUUCCCUCUUGCCAUCACAUACACAUACUGAACUAGUCCCAACGCCCGCAGGUGAAAAGACCCGACACCCUGAUGAUAUUCUCGAACAUCACCCAAGAUGAACCACUACAUCCACCCUACGCUCCGGUCAGAUUCACACUGAGAAUUUAAAAUUCUCUCUCUCCAUGCAUCCCUUCUAAGCCUCAACAGACAUCCCAACCGGAUGGGUUUCUACUCCACUGCCGCGAACACGAUGCUCAAAACCAUCCUCGAAAUACUCUAACUAUAACUCUGCUCUGCAGCUUUCACUUUCGUGAACUUGCACCCCUUCGGAGUUACACACCUUCCUCUUUUCCUUUUUCCCAAGAAACCCUCUUGGCCAUGAUGCCACUCCAACCGGUGCCACGGUGCUCGCCCCAAGCGACACCACCCUUUUUGCGUAACCGCUAUCCACAUACUCUGGUUCUCAUUGCAGGGGCUCUCAAUCUCAUGCACUCUCUCCACUCAUCAAGAUCACUGCCUCAGCUAAACAAGAUCACUAACCCGGGGCCAGACCUUCCAAUGCAAUCACACUGCAACAUACCCAAUCCGCAAUCUCAAACUGAUCCAGCAAUACCAACAGAGUCUCCAGCAUGACUGGACCGACUCUCAUAACACAUACUAGCCACUCGAGGCUAUGUCCCUGUGGGUCCGUACACCCAACUCUGCGAACCCUCAGGUUCUAACUCCGGAACCUUCCGGUUCCAGCUCUAGAAACAUGCACAACAUAAUCCCGUGGGAUUAAUGCAGUACAACCAUCACGUACCCCAAACGUACCAAUACUCUGAUCGCAAAAUUCCGAUUACUUACUCAAGCUUGAUCCCGACCUCCUCUCAGGCCUCCACAAUCAAAUGCCCUAGGUCUGUAUCUCGCCCCGCAUACUCAACACUCGCUCUCGUCGGCCUAUACUUUGCGCUGACAAACACUGCUGAAUCCCAACAGCUAAGCACCCUUACAUACUCAUCGAUCUCCCGGAGAAUUUUACAAUUCUCCCCCACUAAAGCACUGACUAACUGCCACCGAUCGUCAUUAACGACCUUUCAGAACCAUCCUGCACAAAGAGAACAUUUACCCACUGACUGCUUCCCACAAGCGUAAGCAACCCUCAGCAAAACACAUCUCCUCCCUGAUCAAUCCGCUCAAAAGAAUCCGAUCUUUCAAUUAUCCACUCCACAACUGCAGAUGCUACCCGUCAUUCAACCCAGUGCCGCAUCUCCACUAUCAACCCUCACGAACGAUGACCAACGGAAUUCCCAAGCAAUAACCCAUAACCAAACCCACAACCUGCCAAAGGUUGAAUAUCGCAUCGAAAACCGCACAAGGCUACCGGUACCAAAACACCAAACUAUAAUCAUACUAAACCAUCAGGGAACAACGAAUGCCAAGCGAAAACCUGAAGCACCAAUCCAUAACCAUGCCAAACCCGCGAAACAACGAAUACCGCAUCGAAAUCCACACCAGACACCAGCACAAACAAUACGCCACAAUCAACGCAAGCUACUCAAGACAUCAAGAGAGCAUCAUACCCGCAGCUGCCUCCGGCACUGCUCCGUCUCCCUCUGUCGCACGCAGAUAAACACGACCCUGAGCCCUCUGGGGCUCCGCUUCAUCCUGUCCUCCUCAAAUCCCGAAUUGGCACUGACUGCCAACAAUCCCGUGCACAGUGCCCCUCCUUUCCGCACUUGCGGCAUGCACCACUGGACCAACAAGCUCCGGUGCCAUCUCUCUCACACUUCCCACAAGUGUGACCGCUCCGAUCCCCCAUUCUAACGUCUACGGUCAUGGACCGUUUCGGCGCCGACUGCGACUGCAUCGGGGCCUGCCUCAUCUCACGCAACUGCAACUCAACCUCUAACUCACGCCACAUGGCGGCCUCCUGCGAUACCAACACGGUCUCGCGCCUCUGCGCAGACACGAACUGUCUGAUACCCCCCCUUGAGCAUACUCGGAUAUCGGGACAUCUGAGCCUGCUCCGAAGCGAACUCAGGGCAAAACAUCGCCCUCUCAAUAAACAUCCCGGUGCUCUCAGUCACCGACUCCAAAUCCUGCUUCAGCUUAAGGAACUUCCGAGCCAAUUUCUCCUUUUCAUCCCGCGGAACAUAGCGAGUACUGAACAUCCCUCUGAAUUGAUCCCAUGAAACCGCAGCCCUCUGCGCAUCGGAAAAUGACCUCGUGGUCAAUCUCCACCAAUCCUUCGCCCCGAGCCUCAACAGGUUCAGAGCACACCCCACCCUCUGAUCAGCAGGGCAUAAACUCGUGGAGAAACACCCCUCCAUGUCUGAUAACCAUCUCAUAGCAACAAUCGAGUCCUGAACUCCAUCGAAUGUGGGAGGCUUCGCAUAAUAGAAGUCCCGAUACUGAAAACCCCGACUAGCCCCUUUCUUUGCCGUUGCUACAGCCGCUGUAACCGCCGCGGCAGCCGUCUCUGCGAAAGCCGCAUAUCGCUCAUCAAACUACUUCAAUCAUAGUGGUCCUGAUCGACCCAAACAAUUCUGGCGACUCAGCCCGCAACAAUGCAGCGACCUCAUCACGCAGGAUCUCGCGAACCCUCGCAUCUCGCUCGCUCGUGCUCGUCCGAUCGAUACCCGGAUAACAAGAUAGCCACAAGCAUCAUCCACUACGAACCAUGGUACUCAUCCCAUGACAUCCCUCCUCAACAUGCUUCGGUGUAUGGUACCUGAACCAUAGCACCACUCCUCAAUCUGCUCCAAUGUAUAGCACUCGAACCACAACAUCUAUCUCAAUCUGUUCCGAUGUAUGGUGCCCUGACCAUAACAUCACUCUGUAUCCGCUCCGAUGUAUGGUAUUCGAACCAUAACAUCACUCCUCAAUCUGUUCCUUAGGACCUUCAGAAUGCCCCCUGUAUCAAGUAUGGGUCCUCUGCUUUCAGUAGUACGGGCCCAUACUACCUGCCACAUCUACCCAUACUUUCCACACGGACCAUCCCAGAGUUCCUAAGUAGCUGAUAAACCUGCUCUUUCACCCAUCUCAUCGCGCGUGCUCGCUUUCCAGCGAAAUCCUCUACUCUACCAGCGCACUCAUCUGGCUAGGUUUACUCCCUAGUCCCUUCCGCUGUCCUCCCACUUCUUUGCUAUCAGCUGCUGAAGAGUUCCUAAUGAUGCCAGCCCUCUACCUCCUGAGUAUCGUCAUACUCACUUAGUAGCUGACUCCCAUCAUCGAUAACUCCACAAAGCACAAAGCAAGCAGCAUUCGAGCAUUGAAGCAUACAUAGGACUCCCCAUCUGUGGUAGCUCCACCUUCUCGGCUCAUCCUCGGAAGUACCUCUGUACCCCGUAGCUUUACCCCUUGUGCGUUCUAACUAGAUACUCUCACUCAUCACAUACACACAAAAGCAUAACGCACAUAUAACAGCAAACCCUAGACUAAGGCAUCACAAAUCAGGCCACUCUAGUCCUAAGAUGUGAAAUACCUAGCCUGUCUCUAGCAUGCAAUAAUGUCUCAUAAAGUGCAUAAUAGAUAUUUCAUAAUACAAAAGUAAGGGUAUUUUGGGAAAUCACCGUUUGGCUCUGGCUGAUUGUACACACUGCUCUUUCUUGCUUUCUCUUUGAACUCUUAUUCACUUUUAGAAAACCAUUUAUUUGGAAAACUUUUUCUUACUUCCUCAGUUUGAGUCCAGAUUUACCCGUAGGCGCGUCCGAAUCCCUCAAACCAAGGCUCUGAUACCAAUUUGUAACACCGUGAUUUCCAAAAACAAAAUUUUCAUUUAAAUAAUCAAUUUAAUAUUAAAAACACUUGUUUAAAAUCUUAUUCACAUUCGAAUUACAAAACAUAGUUUCAUUUUCAUUAUAAUAGAAGACCAGGAUCCUCCAAAACACAACUCUUUCUUCGGUGUGUACAAUCGAACCGUUGCCAUCCCGCGUUACUGUAAGAACCUGAAACAACAUAACAUAAACAACGUAAGCACGAAGCUUAGUGAGUUCCCCAAUAUACCUUACGCACAUACGCCUUCCGGCCCGGACCUUUCGGUCCACAUAACAUUGCCUUCCGGCCCGGACCUUUCGGUCCACAUAACAUUGCCUUCCGGCCCGGAUCUUUCGAUCCACAUAACAUUGCCUUCCGGCCCGGACCUUUCGGUCCACAAUAUAUAUCGCCUUCCGGCCCAUAAGAUAAUUGCCUUCCGGCCCAUACACAUAUAUAACACAUAAUACAAAUACUCUAACACAUAAAGCACAUAUAUCAUAUAUCAUACCUGACCUUUCUGUCACAUAAUACCUUGCCUUCCGGCCCAUAUAUAAGCAUGUAUAUCACGCGUAGCAGCUAACUUUCCAUUUAUAGCAUAUAAACAUAACACAUAACAUACUUGACCUUCCGGUCACACAAUCAAACCCUUCCGGGUGAGGUAUAGUGAGAAGACUCACCUCGCGGACACUGGAAGAUAGCAACUCCUAAAAUCCCUUGCACUUGAUCCUCCGAGCUACAAGCUCCCUGUAACAUCAUAUAUCCCUUUUUAAUACUUCUAUCUUCCACGUUAACUGACCCUAAGAAAUCACACCAGUCAACUCUGGUCAACAGUCCAUUGUCAGCUCGACUGGACUCGGCGAGUUCCCUGGCGACUCGGCGAGUCUGGUCGUCCUUCAAUCCUCUGAGAUUCCCCUUCUACUCGUCGAGUAUCCUCUUUGACUCGACGAGUCACUCCUGGAAGAAUCGCGGGGCCACCCCGACUCCACUCGCCGAGUCUGAAGAACAACUCGGCGAGUCCCAGUGAAUCUUCAAGCUACUCGCCGAGUCUGAUCAUCCGACUCGGCGAGUCCACGCCAUGCAGUCGAUCCAACUGCUUCCUGAGAUACGUUUUUCCCGAGAUACACACUCAUGGGACUUCUGGACCUCUAAUCAUCCUAUUACUAGGGUAGAAACCUUUGUAUAACAACAUAAUAAUCCAUCAAAUCUCCAAAUGGGUUUCAUAAACCCUAAAUUCGUGUACACAUCAAAAUAACAGGAAUGAUCCGAAACCUUACCUGAAAACAUACUCUCUGUGUCCCCAAACCUCAGAACUCGACCCCCUUGCUCUUCCUUUGGCCAAAAUCCUUCCUCUUCUUGCACCACAAUUCCUUCAAAGUCAAUAAUGGCCUUCAAGUUUUGCUCCAAAUGCCACAGUCGUCUAGGGUUCUCCACAAUCGGCCAAAAGACGUGAAAUGACGACAUACAACCCUUAAAUACGACCCAAUACGAAACGGCUAGGGUUUCUGCUGAACAGCGUCGACUCGCCGAGUCCAUACCUGGACUCGUCGAGUCCAGUCGCGAACCCACGAUCAAAUCUGCGACCCUACUCGGCGAGUCUGGCUCCAACUCGCCGAGUCCCUCCUUUAAAACACCCUAAAAUACAAUUUAACAAUACUUGAGAUUUUGGGCUGUUACAUUUUGGUUAUGGAAAACGAUUCAAAGAAGAAAUGUGUGGUUUUCUUUGGGUGUUGUCGUAAGUGUGCAGGACGGGGACGAUUGGUGAUGGUUGAUGUUUGUUGUGAUGGGGCAGUAUCGGAGGAGGCUAUGUGAGCUGAAGUUGACUAUUGGAAAUUUUCAUAGGCUGAUGUAUGAGGAGUUUGAUGGGAGUCAACAGUGGGUUGGCAUUUACGUUGGUAUGUUUGGAGAGGAGGAUCGGUAGGUCAUUGAUCGAAAGGUUGUGGAGUAGGUUGUUGAUUAGAUGUAAGAGGUUUUUGUGUUUGGUUAGGGUUGUCGGUCAUGGUUUGUAGAGGUGGUAUGUAGUGGGGAUCGGGAUAUGAGGAUACAUAUGGCUCAUUUGGAAUGGAUGGGGAAGUUGGAUGAGAAUUGAAAGGAAAGAUUUGUUCAUUGAAGCGUACAUGACGAGCUAUGUAAAUAUGAUCGGAAGAAGGAUCAAGGCAACGAUAUCCAUGGUGGGAAGGGUUGUAGCCAAGAAAAACAAAAGAAGUGGACCAAAAAUCCAUUUUGUAGGCAUUGUAAGGACGCAAAUGAGGGUAGCAUUGACAACCAAACACACACAGAAAGGAUAAGUCAGGUUUUCGUUUGAAAAGGAGCUCAAACGGGGAGGUACUCGUUGUUCUGGAGGGCAUUCGGUUUAUGAGGUAGACUGCGGUUUCAAAGGCAAAGUCCCAAAAGCGUUUGGGAACAUUGGAUUGGGCUAAUAGAGUAAGACCGGUUUCAACGACAUAACGGCGGCGUCUUUCAACUAUGCCAUUUUUUUCACUUGUGUGAGGACAAGAUAAGCAGUGCACAAUAUCAAGGGAGGUGAAGAAGGUUGAUAGGUUUCGAAACUCACCACCCCAGUCAAUUUGUACGACUUUUAAUUUUUUAUUAAAUUGGCGUUCAACAGUAGUUAAGAAACGUUUAAAUAUGUCAUAAACAUCAGAUUUAUGUUUCAAAGAGAAUAACCACAUAAAGUGUGUAAAGUGGUCAACACAUAGUAAGAAAUAAUUGUGACCAUCAAAAGAAGUGGUUGGAGCGCGACCCCAUACAUCGAAAAAAAAGUAAAUCCAAAAUACUAGAACUUUUAUUAUGUGAAAAAGGUAAACGAAGUUUCGAAGAUUUCCUAAUGGAACAUAAAUUACAAUGAGAAUCUGUACUAUUACUUGAAACUGGUAAAUGAAAUUUGGAUAACAUAAACUUGAAAAGUUGAGGAUGUGGAUGUCCUAGUCUUUGUUGCCAAAUGGUUGAGGAAGCACGAGUAGAUGAGAAAGCAACUUUAGAUAUAGGCUGAAAAGCUGGAAGGCGAAAAGUGGAAAGACCACCAUCACUUGGACCUGUAAGGAGGAUAACGCGUGUUGUAUUGUCCUUCACAUCAAAAAAAGUGGAAUGAAAUUCAAAGAAGACAUAAUUAUCAUGACAAAAUUGUUGAAUAGAGAGCAAAUGUUUUUUGAUACUAGGAACAUGAAGAAUAUUGUUAAGGGAAAAGGUUUUGAAUUGAGAGUAGGUGCGUUUUGAGCCAAUGUGGAGAAUGGGUAAACCCUUACCGUUGCCAACAUGUAGGUUGUCCUCACCGUAGUAUGGCUCAGAAGUAUCGAAUCCAUUGAGAUCAGGUGCAACAUGACUGUUAGAUCCCGUAUCAGGGAACCACGAGGUGGUAGAUGAUGUCUGGGAGCGAUGGUCAGCGUAAUUGGCGAAUGGUUGUUUCAUCCGAAGGGUUGAGGGGUCACGGUUUUAGCAUUGAGAAGGAAUGUGCCCAAUACCGCAUCUAUUGCACGUGCCGUAAAUAAUGUUCUAAUUAGAGGCCCAACUGAACUGACCCCGGUUUCCACCUCCUUGAGGAGGAUCACUUUGAGAGUGGUUGUUGUUGUAUCCACCACAUCCUCCUCGGCCCCUGUUAUUAUUGUUAUAGCCACAACGAUUUUUGUUAGAGUUAUUGUUACCUGAUCGAUUUAAGUAGAAAGCUUGUGGUGAGCUUGGUUGUGGUUGAAAGCCUAGUUGGGCCACUAAUUGUUGUAGGGCCUGAAGUGUCUUUGGUUGUAUAGAAGAUAAGGCGGUUGAGUUGCGGUUUGUGAUGGUAGCCAUAAAAGCCUGGGCCGGUGCUGCUGGUGGGGAAUGUUUCUUGAUCAUUUAGUCAUUGAUCAUUGAGCAAACCAUAGAGAUCGGUGAAGGUAAUGGGAGAUCGCCUCCCAAGUAAGGUAGACUUGAAUCCAUUGUACUCUUCCCGCAGCUCUACAAUCAUAAGCAUAACGAGAUCUGUUUCAUCCAUUGGUUUCCCAAUGUUGGCGAGUGUAGCAGGGUAUUCUUGUUCUCUGGUGAGAUAUGUUGCAGAAGACUCAUCACCUUUCAUCUCAAUUUUGAGCAGCUGUGUCUUGAGGGUAUAUUCCUUUAAGGAAGUGUGAGGUGUAUAUGCACGUCCCAAAGAGAGCCAUAGAUCACGAGAAGUUGUACCGUGCACAUGCUGAAAAGCGGCCUCAGAGACAAUUGACAACAAUAGCAUUCUGAUGUGUGCAUCAUUUGCAAGCCAUUAUGAGAAACUCGGGUUUGGAGUAGGUUCUGCAUCUUUUUCUGUUAAUUUUGAUGGUAGGGUGGGUUAUGGGCAAGGAAUUGUUCCAUCAAUAUAACCAAAUAGGCUGUUUGUGACUAAAAAAGGUUGAAUCAUGGCUUUCCAAUAACCAUAAUUUGUAGGGGAUGGAGUAAAGCCGAACUUGUGUGAGUUGUGUGUUGUUUGUCGGUAGUAGAAAAGGAUGUUAUAGACAUUGAUUUUUUGUAUUAGAAUAAUGAAGGUUGAUUCGUGUAUCUAGGGCAGAAUUGUGUCUGCGAUUGAAGUGCAUCAAACAGAUGAACUUUAAUCGAUUAGGUCAGCAGCAUCAACUUAUAACCACGCUAGUUUUUAUCAGACUGUAUCACAAGAGAAUCUUGGUGGCAAGGAUCUAGAAGAUUGUGAUUUCUUGUAUAUGGUGGGAUCGUUUAAAGGGAGAAUGAACAGAAACGGAUGGUUUCGACUUACAAAUUAGGGUAAGAUUUAGGUAACCAGGCUCUGAUACCAUAAACGACUUUAGGUAUCAACAAUUGUAUUGUAUUACUGUAUAUUUGUGAAUGGUAAAUACAUGGGAUAUUUAUAGGAUACAAUAUUACACAAUAAUCCUUCUAAAUAUAAGAUAGAUAAUGAUAGUCUAAUAAACACAACACCCAAUUUCUCCAUCAAUUAUUAUUAUAGCAAUCUACUUUCGUUUCUUUCUAUUACAACAUUGCUCUUAUAUACUACUUAAAUGAUUACAAUAAUAGGAAGAAGAUUAUGUGUACUUGUCUCUUUAUUACGACAAAGAAAAUCCCUAUUGAUGGGAAAACAUCGAACUUUAAUUGACGAAUUAAUUGAAAGUAGGAUGCCAAAAUACACAAAUAAAUUGAAGUACAUUAUUAUUUCUUGUAAUUGUAAGUUUUUAGAUCGGUGAAAUGCAAGAAACAGCAAGACAUGUCCAUGUAUUUAUGUAUUAUAACAUUAAAUCUAAUCAAUUAUAAGAAUAUCAUGGAAAUACAAAGCCAUUUGUACCACUUUAAAAGGGUAAACAUUUUAAAAGUUUAAUACCUUAAUUGGGUAGGUUUUUUCAAACUACAAUACCUUAAUAAUAAUAAAAAAUCGAAUGUACAUUCUUGCAAAUAGGAAAACAAAUAAAGUGGGAUCUAUAAUACAGAAAAAGCGAUAAGGAAAAUCUUAAAUUUCUUUGUUUGGUUUAGCAUCCUACUUUAGACGGCUAAUAACAUCCUAUUUUCGACAAUUCUAUUUCCUAGGACAGAAAGAUUAAGAAGUUAACAUUUAAAUAAAGAAAUGUUUGGUCACUUGUGUUGUUUUUUAACAACCAAAGAAUUUAAAAAGAUACAUGAAAUAACAUUGUACUUUCAUUUUUUUUAUCAAUCAAAAUCAUGAAAAUUUUAAAAUAUUUCUCAUAAAAUAAACUAUUAAAUAAAAAUGACUUAUCUUACAAAUUCCAACUGCAUUCUAUGAUGAAAAUGAAAAAAGAAACACCUCCCUCUUAAGGUAUGAAAAUUAAGAAAAAUGAAGAAAUUCAAGUCCUUCAUGAAUGAUCUAUUCCAUCCCAUCAGAAAAACAAAAAACAACUUUUUUUUAUUCCAAUAGAGCAACGAAUUCCAUUCCUUAUCCGAUUUUUACCAUUCCAAAUAGUAAAAUGACAUAUUACAUGAGAAGAAGUAACUAUGAAUUUUAUAACGAUAUUUUUCAAUUAAAUAUUAACUGGAAUGAAGAAUUAGUUGUUACUUUAAGUAAUAAGAGAUAUAUGACACAAACAAUACAAAAUCUUGACAAUGUAUUCGACACGAGAACUAUACUGUAACUUGUAACUUAUAGGAUAAAACUCCCAGCUUAGAUUAUUUAUGCAGAAGUUUCUUCAUAAAAAAUGAAUACACAAGUCCACUUAAUCAUAGAUUAAAACUUCAAGUUACAAAGACUGAAGACAAGAGACACCAGUCUCGACCAGUUAAUCAGUUUUUGCGGUUAAGGUUUGGAUUUUUCUUUUUUGGGUUAGGUUAUGGCAAGCCGAAAUACUCUUGAGUGCUUUUCCAUAAUAUCCACCUAUAUCAAUUGAUCAUUUGAUCCAACCUGUGUAGCUGUGUAGCCUGAGAUGUCUUCAAUUAUCUUUUUGUUGACCAUUGUCUGCACAUUAAAGAAACUUUCAAAAUAGAUACAAUAAUAUGCUAACAUCUAUAUUUUGCUCUAACAAUUUCCCAACUUUUUGCGUAUCGAUUUCUACUUAAUGUUCCAUUUAUCAACAUGUUUGGUAUUUACCUAUAUUUAUCAUCCAAACCAACACUCUUAGUUGGCUAGUCGCAUCAAAUUUGCAUACUUCCAAUCAACUUUCCUACAAAAAGACAAAACGGUACAAAAUGGUUUUAAAUGGCUGAAUUUCAAUUAAGAAAUAUAUAAAAUAAGUAAGACAACACACUUAAAAUCCUCACCACUUAGAUCAUUGAUUCACUUUGGGCUUCCUGUCCUGUUAGAUAGAAAGAGGAAUAAAGGUUAGUUAGAACCAAAAAGAGAAAGGUUAAAGGGAUGAAGAAACCCAUACCAUGACUAAAAUCCAAAAGAUAGUCGUCUGGUUAAGGUUGAGUAAAUUAUUAACUCAAAUUAGAUANAUAUAUAUAUAUAUAUACACACACACACACUAGUCGUUUACCCGCGCCAAGCGACGGGUGCAAAUUGUUUUUUCAUAAAUUAAUUUCUAUAAGAGAUUAGUUAUUUUGUGCAAAUAGUUUACUACAUCUAAACAACCAUCAAUAAGAUUCAUGCUAGCAGAAACGGAAUCAAUAAGAAUUAAAAAUCAAAAUUACGAUUUUUUACAAAUAUACAUUAGCACAUGCUUAAUUAUGUAUUAUUAAUCGUGCAACAUUAUACAACAUAUUUGAAGGAUAGAUUUCACUGUCGUUGAAUUGUUCAUCAGAGUUCACUAAUACUUUUGUAUUGGCACGUGAUAUCCGUUUGGAUAAUGCCACAUAAAGUUGGGCAUGCAAGAAACAGAUUCUACAAGAUAAGUACCUACAUUUGAAAUUGUUUGUACCUGAGCUUUAUUGAUUGCUAAUGCGAAACAUAANUAUAUAUAUAUAUAUAUAUAUAUAUAUAUAUAUAUAUAUAUAUAUAUACCUUAAUAUAUAUAUAUUUGACAUAGUCAUUUUUGGGUUUAUAUUCAUUGACUUACAGUCUCUCAAAGUCGAGAUAUCAAAGCUGGAAAUUUUAUGUUUUUCAGCUUUUUUUUAUAUUGUGUGAUAGUUUUAAAACAUGAAUAUCUCAUUCGUUUGAAGUCGGAUUGGCACGAGGUUUUUUCGAGAGUGUAGUUUAUAGUUUGUAAAUGAUUUUAGACUAUAAUUUUAUUAAUUUUGGGUGUUUAUUCAUUGACUUAUAUUCUCUCAAAGUCGGGAUAUCAAAGCUGAAAUUUUAUGUUUUUCAGCUUUCUUUGUAUUUUGUGAUAGAUUUAAAACAUGCAUAUCUAAUUCGUUUGAAAUCAGAAUAGCAUGAGGUUUUUUCCAAUAUGUAGUAUAGAGUUUGUACAUGAUUUUAGAGUACUAUUUUGUCAUUUUUGGUUUCAUAUUCAUUGAUUUCUAGUCUCCCAAAGUUGGGAUAUCAAAGUUGCAAUUUUUUUUCUUAACUUUAUUUUUGUAUUUUGUGAAAUUUUAAAACAUGCAGUCGAUCUACUUUACCCGGUUCCCUGGAUUUUUCGGUUUUAGACCUACUUUACCCGGUUCCAUUCAACCCACUUUGAUAUUUCUGGGUUUUCCAGUUCUAGACCCACUUUACCCGGUACCUUACCUGGAACCGAAUCAGAAUCGGUUCCAAUAUACCGGUUUGGUUUCCGGUCCUAAACAAUCUCGUUAAUCGGUUCCUGAGUUUUCCGGGUCCAUGUCUACCAGUCUGGGUUUGGACCCACUCUCAUCCCUACUAGGAACUAUAUGAUUGAUAUGUAAAGUUGUUGGAUUAGGUGUUUGAUCCCAUAACUAUAACUGGUAUGUACUUGACCUAAUAGUAGCAUGGUCCUUUUGGGUUGCCUUCACCAGUGCAAUUUGAUAGGAUGAACUUUUGAGAAUAAGGAUAUUAUGAUUUAUUAAUAUAUUAUAAGUAUAAUAUAUUAAUUGUGGAAUCAUAUUAUUUAAUUAGUAUUAAUCAAGAAUUAAUUUAGUGAUCAAAAGAGACUGAUUAAAUAUACGGGGACUGAUUAAGUAAAUCAAUGAUUCUUAUAGUGUGGACCAAUGAUUAUUUAGAAUGGGAUAAACUAAUAUGGUAGUUCAUGGAUAGUCCAUGAAGGUUUAACCCGUUGAUCCUAAGUAAUAUGAAAGGUCAUGGGCAUUAGGGUUUGCAUGGAGGUAACCCUAGUUUUGCCACUCUAUAAAAGAAGUCCCUUAGGCACCAAAAUUGCCCCUAUGUGUUCUUUAGAAGGAGAUAGCCAAUUUUGGUGAUAGCUAGUUUAUUCUCUCAAGCCUCCUCUUGCAUAUUGGUGUUUGUGACACAUUAGAGGCAUCAUAUUUGAGGUGCUAAAGAUUUUGAAGGCCAAGAACUACAAGUCCUACUAAGAGGUAAGUCAUCUAACUAGUUGUAUUGUUUAAAUUGUCAUGUUGUAUGCUAGUUAGGAUGUAUUCUUUGGAAAAUCUAUUUGCAUGUAUAAUUAGAGAAAACUCAGAUCCAAAGCAUCUAGCGUUGUAUGUACACCAUAAGGUUGUUAUAGUGCUCAAAACCCAACAAAAGUAAUACAUGUUGCAUGAGCUAUCUUUGAUGUUCUUAUUUUUUAUGUGGAAUGUAAAUGCAUGAUAUUUUUGGGCUAGACGGUUGAAUACCGAUCUGACUGACCGAAGGCCAUUAUGUCAAGUUAGGGGCACAAGGCGGAAACGCCAAGUCUGUGGAUUCGACGGCUGAAUAACGAGUCCUUAUUUGGGAUUCGGUUAGGAUGUGUUCCUAAAUAGGCACGAGUUACAUGAUCUUGAUGUUUAUACUAUAUGAAUGUUUGUAUAUUUGAUGAUGGCAUGAUAAGUAGGAGUAUGGUAAAAUGAUUUUAUUGUUAUGUUGUGUUGGAAUCCACUAAGCUUCGUGCUUCCCCUUUCCUUUAUAAAAUGAUUAUUACAGGUACAUCAGGUAUGAAUAAGGGUAAGGCCAAAGCUUGACUGUACACAGGCGUGAUUCAAAGAUUAGUUCCUUGUCACAAACACUUGAUAUGAGAUUUUUCUGACUAGUAUUUCCGUUGUUGAUUUGGAAUUAUGAAUGGAUUGGUAUUGUUGAGAGCAUGAUUUGAAAUAUUAAUUGAAUACUUGAAACUUAACGGUUUGGUUAAUUAAUGGAUUUAAUGGUUUCUAUUAUAAAUAUAAAUGUUUUCAAAAGUUUACAUUUAUUGAAAAUUUUGGGACGUUACCAAUUGGUAUCAGAGCACAUCUUGAGCGAAUCAGACACAUCUCGGUGUGUUUGAACUCAAGUUUGCGGCUUGGAAAUAUUUUCUUUAAAAGUUUGUAAAAGAAAAUGGAAAUUUUGGUGACAAGGAUUGAGGACCCAUUGUGUACAGUCAGUUGAAGCUGAAGGAAAAGAAUUUAAUUAUUUAAUGUGAAUUAUUGCUUUUUAGGAUAAUGGAUGUAUGUACACUAUAUAGCAUAUUACUUUCAUGCCAUGUUGAAUGCCUACUAUAUGUCACUUGGAAUUUAUGCUAGCACUGAUAGCUUGUCUAGUGAAUGAUUUAGGUUGUAUGCAAUAGGAGCCAAUCAGACUUAGAAUGUAUGAUUUAGCCUAAUGUGUGUAACAUCCAAAAUCUAGAAGGUCAAUUAUGGAAAUAAAUUCCCUUUUUAGGGGCCAACUCGUCGAUUUUAUGGCAUAAACUCGACGUGUUGGAAGCUUAUGGUGCGCAUAUUUUUAAGAACCAACUCAUCGAGUUGGUGAAGGGAACUCGACUAGUUAGACGUUGUUUGAGAAACCCUAAUUUUUGGGUUUUGCACCCUAUUUCAACACCUUAAGUUCCUAGUGGCCUUAUUCGUAGCAUCCAUAGCCCCUAACCCUAAUCUCGAAACCCUAGAGCCUCCUUGAGUGUUUUGAGGUCAUUGUAGGUGUGUUGGAAGCUCUUUGAAGGGAAGAAAAUCUUAGUGCAAGGUGGUGGUGCAAGUAGGAGAUUUUAGGUCUUGAUUCUCUGUUUCAUUUUCAACACAUCUUGGGUAUAAAGUUCUAACCUUGCUUAAUAUUUGUGUAGAUAUCUUAUUUGUUUAAAUUGCAUGCUUUUAGCCAUGGAUGGGUGAUUGUUAGGGAAGUAGAAGUCACAUGUGCUUAAUCUUUCAGAUCAAUGAUCUUCAUGAUUUCUUCUGGCAUAAAGGUGCCAACUUUAUGGUCUUAAAGGGCUUCAUGCAUAUAUUAAGCAAAUACAUUUUCUCUCGUCGAAAAGCCUAACAGCCUUUACUCCAUCAACACCACCACCCUUUUCACCCUCGAUCGAGAAGAAGGGAUGAUACUAGAUGUCGUACAUCUCUGCCGUCAAAGACCGUUGCUUAGGGAUCCACACCGCUGCUCAAUUCCCAUACAACAACUCUGUAAUGAAAGGAAAGAUCCUCCACUACUACUCGACUUUGGACCACUGUCGACCUCUGGACCAACGUUGGUGGUGUUAGAGUUCUACCACCGCUUCAAAUGCUGCCCCAUUCCAUUUCUUUCCUUACCAUUCUUGAUUUGGGUAUAUUAUGAUCUAAAGCAUUUGGUUUAUGAUUUGUGAUUCGUUUUUUCAUUAGGUUGGUGAUUCAACUUGCAAAAUUGAAUUUCAUAUAUUAGGAUGUGAAUCAUUUCUUUUACAAUCUAUAUUUUUUAUCUGUGUUUUUUAUUUUGCUUUUGCUUUUGAUUUUUAGGUUUGAAUUUCAUAUAUUAGGUUUGUAUUACUUUGAUUUUGAGGUUUGUACUGAUAUGAUUAGGAGGGUUGUAUUAGUAGUGGUUAUCGGAGGUCAAUUGGGUUCCGAUGGGGUGGUCGGUGAUGAAUUGGGCAUACAGGAUCUUGAAUGAUGAAGGAUAAGGGAAAUAUUGUCUUUUUAUGCCUGUAAGGGACCUAAUGCGUAAUUAAAAUACAUUUUGGGGACUAUCUGAGUUAAAAAAAUAAGUUAGGGACCAGACAUGAAAAUUAACCCAAACCAUAAGGACCAUUCGUGUAAUUUACUCUUAAUUGAAAAAAGAAAAAUUACAAAAAUGGUGUAACGCCCGCAGAUUCGAACUAGUCAAUUUAGAGAUAAUAAGCGUCAAAAAUGACUUUUUGAUAGAAGAUUACUUAGAAUAAAUAAUCUUAACCAAGUUAUAGUAUAUGUCAUAAGGAUUCCGUACAUAUAAAGAACGUUGAAAUCCGACCUAUAACGAAUAAGUUAUGACCCGUCGAAGUUUUAUGGUUAAACCGACACGACAUCGUGUAACUUAAAAAGUGAAUUUUUAAUAAAUUACUUUUUAGCCUUAGCGAUUUAAAUGAAAGUUGUAGUAUACGUUAAACCGAGAGCGUGCGUAAAAAGAACACCUAAAUAUGACUUCGUAUGAGGAAGUUAUGAUUUUCUAAGAUUUAGCAUAGUAGUGCACAACCCGAAAUUCGAAUUUUAGAUCGAUUGAUUUUUAGCUGUCACAAUCUAGACGAUAGUUGAAGAUCUCGUUAAUAGGAUCUCAACGAUAAAAAGACAGUCGAAAACGGAGUCUGUAUGUAAAAGUUUCGAAUUUUACACGGUUGUUAACAGUGUAAUCUUCUUAUACUGUUAAAUUUAUAAUCAGUCGGGAAUUAGCCAACGGAGUCUAAAAGAAAGUUGUAGCGUACGUCGUCACCUACGCGUGGAUAUAAAGAACGUCGAAAACGGAGCUUGUAUGUGAAAGUUACAGAAUUUAGAAGUCGGAAGGGUGAUGUUGCGAAGGGUGUGACGUGGCCAAAUCCUGGCCCUUGCUUUCUCCCCACACCUUGCCACCAGCUGGUGACACUUAGCACUAAACUCAAUGAGUUGGAGGCUCAGAACUCGCCGAGUUGACCCGUUUUUCAGCCUAUAAAUACCAUGCGAGGCUCACUCAUUUUCCUCACACCUUAACCCUUAUCUCACUCUAACUUCUCUCUAUACCUCUCCCAAGCCCUAGUACUUCCCAAGUGCUAAGAGGCAAGUCCCGGGGUGAUCGAAGGCUCCGAGAAGAAGAGUUUUUCGGCUCGGAAGUUCUGCCCCCGCAGAGCCCGAUUCCUAGCCAAACCCCCGAUAAGUGAGAUAUGCCUACCUUACUUUAAGAAUAGCUUAUGUUUAAAUUUAUUAUCGUUUUUAGGAAGUUAUAAACAAUAUAUAUUAUAAAAUAUGAUAUAAAAAGUGUUAUUAUAAUAUCUAUUAACUACUCGCGGUACGGGGAAUCCGGUUUAAAGGGUCGUCUAGGUUGUUGGAUUUCAGAAGUGCUAUAAUGCCAAAAUGGUCAUGCCUUCCGGUGUUUCAUGUAUGUCCCCUAUCUGUACAUAGUGGUUGAAAUGUAUUGUUUAACGUUUAUAAAACAAUAUUGCUCGUAAAUAGUCGCGAUAAAUAUUAGACUAAAAUCUAGUGUAAUGAUAGUAGGUUUCAUCGAAGAAAAUUAUAAUUGAUGGAAGCGAAGCGCUGCCCGGGUUUGGAAUCAUCACCUUAACAAGUGAGUGCAUAGUUACUUUCAUCUUACACAUAGAUAUGAAGUAUUUAAUAUAAAUUAUGUGCGAUGUGUGUAUAUUAUCUAUGUUCUUGAUAUCUAUAUUUGAUGAACCGAGUAUACAUGUUUUAUUUGAUGUAAAAUAUUAUAGAGAAAUCGAGUAAUUGUAUGUGUAUUCCAUUUACAGUACAUCAAUAUAUACAGAGAUAUGAACUGAAAUAUGAGAGAUAUUCUCCUAUUCUAAAGGGAAGUAUAUACUGACUUUGACUAUUCUCCUAUUCUAAAGGGAAGUCUAUACUGACUUUGACUAUUCUGCUAAUCCAAUAAUACACGUUUACAAUAUUUGUUAAUAACUACAUAUGUAUUUUAUACCAUUAAAAAUAUUGUGUAAAAAUGGGUAGAUGAAUGAUGAGGGAUGAAAGAUGAUAUAGAUGAACAUUGGCAGUUAUGGACUUAGUGCCCUGUAGAUGAACAUUGGCAGCUGCGCCAUAACCUGUAGAUGUUUUUGAACUACGAUGUACUCUAAACAUCCUAGCAGCUGCACCUAAAGGAUAAUAUCAACAGCUGCGCCUAAUAGAGAACGUCAUAAUCUUGGCAGUUGUUCCUAAAUGAUAAUAUUGACAGUUGUGCCUAAUAGAUAACAUUGGCAAUUACGAACUUCGUGCCUAUUCCUUAGGAGAAUUCUUAGGAAUAAAUGAGUGAAUGAUAGAUAAUUCUUAGGGUAGAUCCUUAAAAAAUAAAGAAGAUAAUGGGGAUGGGUAACUGAGUUAAUUGUUUUGUAACGACCGAAAAGUCCAACUAAUUUAAAUUUUUCAAAAACAAUCAGAUUUCAUUAAAUUAUUACAAAAAGGUUUUCAAUACAUUAUUUAUCAGAAUAUUCCCAGGUCCAUUUCAAAAAAAAAAACAUAAACACGAGGGACGGUACGAUCACGCCUUUGCCCUGCCACAGUCUCCCGAAGAACCUGAAAAACAUUAAACCAUAACUGUAAGCCCGAAAGCUUAGUGAGAUACCCCUAAAAUACCAACCACAUAUACGCCCUUCCAGGCUACGACCUUCCGGUCCAAAACAUAUUGCCUUCCGGCCCAUAACAUAUUGCCUUCCGGCCCAUAGCAUAAAAAGCAUACAUAACAUAACAGAACAUAGAACAACCAUGCAUAUCGGGUCUACUGUGUGACUGGUCCGCCGUAUCGGGCCUUCAGUCUACCGGAUCCACCCUCCGAGUCUAGUCAUGUCCUUUGAGUCUAUAGUGUGGUUGGUCCGCCCGCACCAGGCCUUCAACCCACCUAGUCCACUCUCUGAGUCUACAGGGUGACUGGUCCGCCCGCAUCGGGCCUUCAGUCGGCCUGGUCCACUCUCCGAGCCUCGGCACGUCUGGUCCGCCCUCGUGGGGCCUACAGCCUAUCCGGACCGCUCGCUGGGCCUUCGGCAUAACCGGUCCGCCCUGGGUAUCUUGGCCUACAGCACAAAGCAGGACCCGCCUCAACCCAUCCCCAGUCCAAACAACCAUGUGCACAUAACAUACAAUCAUAUAACAGUCAUAGUCAACAAACUGAGCAAGCAGAUCACAUAGCAUAUCAUUACCCUAACCAGGUUACCGACCUAAACCGGUCACUAGCAUAGCAUCACUCUACAUAUCGGGAAACUGACCUUAACUAGGUCUCCAACAUGUACCAUCCUACCUACCAGGAUGCAGACAUAUCAAACAAUAACAUAAUAACCAUAUCCGAAUCUCAAUCCAAUAAAGGGCCGGCCUUGGUGCCUUAGACCCUGUUGAUAUAGUGAGGAUAACUCACCUCGAAACUGCCGGCUGAAAGGAUAAGAUCCCGCUGCUCCGAACUCUGACACGAACUCCUCCACUGAACACCAAAACACUCAACUCAAUAUAUAUCCUUAAUUACCAAAAUACCCCUGGACGACAACUGGUCAACCUUGGACAAAGUCAAAGUCAACCCCUGACUGACUCUACUCGCCGAGUCAACCCGAUGACUCGCCGAGUCCCCAAGCUUAGAACUUCCCUCAAUCCGCGACCUAACUCGUCGAGUCACCCCGAGACUCGCCGAGUCCAACAACUCUGAGUCCACUCGCACCCAACUCACCGAGUCAUCCCUUGACUCACCGAUUCUCGACUCAACCAGAAAAUAUUGGGACUCUUCGACAAGACUCGCCGAGUCCAAGAACAGACUCGCCGAGUCUAAGGCUAUCUUCAACCUACUCGCCGAGUUGUUCAUCCAACUCGUCGAGUUCCAGCUCAUCUUCAAGCAACUCGUCGAGUCCACCCAUGUGACUCGCCGAGUACCACCAGUCUGAAUCCAUACAGAAGCAUUCCAGGCCAUGCAAUUGAUCCAAAACAUAGAUCUAGCCUCCUACAACCCAUCCAUCACGUAAAGUGGCAAACUUUACGUGAAUCCAUGAAGAUCUAGGCAUUAUGCACAUUAGGGCUAAGGUUUGGGACAAGAUAGCUUCACUCAACACUCAACACAGGGACUUUAUGCACAUUUGGACCAUCACCACUCCAGAUCUGAGGUAGCAUCCUCAGAUCCAUCUUCCAAUCCCAAAUAACUCAUGAAAUACACCCAAAAACCCCAAAACAACCCCCCCAAAGAAGACAACAAGGGGGAAAAGAGCUCAAGACAGAGGAUCCUUACCCCAAAGAUGAGCCUAAAUUGAUGUAGACUCCAGAUCUCCAAGCCCUCUUGAAGCUAUCCUCAAAUUCCACCCACUUCUCUCCACCAACCCUUUCUUCCAAGCUUCAAUCCUUUCAAUAAUGAAGUUAUUACGUUUGGGGGUGUUCUCUGGAACUCUCAGGGGGUAUAGAGGCUAAAAAGGAUGCAUAACAUCCUUUAAAUAGGGGGCAAACCCCGAAGGUUAGGGUUUUCUUCACCCAGCACCAACUCGCCGAGUCCAGCCGCCGACUCGCCGAGUUGGCCAAUUAACACGUGACCAAUUCGCGACCCUACGCGCCGAGUCCACCCAUGGACUCGUCGAGUUCCCCUUUUCCAAUUUCCCCUUUUUGCCCAUCAACUCUACUCUUGGUAUUUCGGGAUGUUACAUGUUUGAUGAUGAAACAUAAUAACUUUAUUAUUGUAGGUUGAAAACACUAUGUACUCACCAGGUUUCCCAACGUGACCCGCUCAGCUUAUUCAUAUCACAAGUGUCGAUAUGAAGCUACAUUUCAUUGAGAGAUUAAAGGAGAAGUAAAUCACUAAUGUAAAUGAAUGUAAGAUCUAUUUAUGCUUAUGUUUAUGUAUUGACAAUGAUAUCCCAAAGUUUUAAUAUAAACAAAAUACAUUUAUUCGGAAAUGCUUUGAUAAUAUAUUUAUCAUGUUUUCUGGGAACAAAUUCCGCAAUAUUAUUCUUUAAAAUUGAAUACUCUGAUUUUCAAAUAAACAUAAUAAAAAAUUUAAAAUGACCAUGAAUUUGAGGAUGUCACAAAUGGUCAAAUGGUUUACCAAAGGUCACAAACUCAGUCCUUGCUAAUUUAUUUUAUGGAAAUGGUCUCACUGGUUUGCAAAAGUUGCACGAAUGGCCCUUUUUAGUAACUCCGUCAAUAUUCGCCCGUUAGGCCAUAUCACGUGGGAGUAUUUUUGGUAUUUUCAAGUGUAACAGGGACUAAAUUCAUAACAUUUGAUAAACCAUAGGGACUAUUUCUUUCCAUCUUCAUUUUAAUCAUACGAUUUAGAACGUACAACUAAGAUGAAAUAUGUAUUUUAAAAAAGAUAUAUAACCGAAUAGGUUUUUUAUGUUUUUUAAAUACAUAUAACCGAAAAAUGGUUUUUUGAAAACUGAUUGGACCAAACCGAAAACAUAUUCAACCGAUUUUACCUUCCAAUACAACGUAAUAACAUAUUAUACGAAAAUGUAUUUUUUUAAAGACAUAAAAAAUAUAUUUUACAUAAAAUAAAUACGAUAAAAUACAUUUUGUUUUAUUUAAAAAAAUUAUGUAAAAAAAGUUUUUUGUAAUUUAUUUAUUGUUUAUGUUUUAUCGAUUUUGUUAUCACAUAAUUUAAUUUUAAAAAGAAAUAAACCAUGUGAGCAUUCAGCUCAGUUGGUUAUCCCCCCUUUCUUUAGCCAUUUAUUUGUCUUUUAAAAUAAACUUCAAAAAUAGUUAUUGUAGUUUACCAAAUGUUACGAAUUAAGUCCCUGUUACACUUGAAAAGACCAAAAUACCCCCAUGUGGGAGGCACGUGAUAUGGCCUAAUGACCAAAUAUUGACGGGGUUACUAAAAAGAGUUAUCCAUGCAACUUUUGCAAACCACAGGGUCUAUUUGCAUUAAAAAAAAUUAACAGGAACUGAGUUUGUAACCUUUGGUAAACUAUAGAGACCAUUUUUGUAAUUUUGUCUUGAAUAAAUAAUUUAUUUGUUAAAUGUUUUAUUAAUUUAAAAUUAAUAAAAUUAGGUUUUGGUCUUUUAUUCUGUUGAUAAAGAAGGUUCUAAGAAAACUCAAAAUGUUUUAUGAAAUAAAAUGAGUUUUUAGUGGUCAUUCAAGAUAUAAUAGAUUUCAUUCACUAAACCCUAAUUGCUUCCUAAAACCAUGUAACACAUCUCGUUAAGGUAUAAUUGAAAUUAUAAUUAAGAAAAACAUUUAUAGAAAAAUUCCCAAAAAUUUAGAGCUUAUGUUUGUUGAAAAUACUUUGGUCCCAAAAUAAUAUACUUAAACCAAGUUCGAAAACACAAGGUUGUUAACAGUAAGCAUAUCAAGAAAAGAUUCAAGAUCAACACACAUUAUGUAGCCUUCUUAAAUUUCAAGCUAAUCCCUAACCCAAGCUUGAGUCUUCAACCUAAAAACAUCAUAUUUUGGACAAUUUUUCAUGGGGACAGAAAGAUUAAGAAGUUAACAUUUAAAUGAAUAAAUGUUUGGUCAACAGUGACGUUGUUUAACAACCAAAUUUUUUUAAAAAAGAUACAUAAAAUAACAUUGUACUUUUAUUUUUUGUUAUCAAUCAAAAUCAUAAAAUUUUUAAAAUAUUUCUCGUAAAAUAAACUUAUAAAUAAAAAUGGUCAAUCUUAGAACUUCCAACUGCAUUUUAUAAUGAAAAUGAAAAAAGAAACACCUCCCACCUAAGGUAGGAAAAUUAAGAAAAAUGUUGAAAUUAGAGUUCUUCAUAAAUGAUCUAUUCCAUUCCAUUAGGAAAAAAAAACAAACAAUUGUUUUAUUUCAGUGGAAUAACUCAUUCCAUUCCUUAUCCGAUUUUACCAUACCAAAUAGUAAAAAAAAAAUAUAUAUAUAUUACAAGAGAAGUAAAACUAAGAAUUUUUAAAACUAUAUUUUUCAAUAAAAUAUAAUUGAAAUGAAGAAUUAGUUGUUAGUUUAAGUAAUAAAGAGAUAUAUGACACAAAUAAUAAAAAAUCUUCAUACACGUGCACUAAGCUGUAAUGUAUAGGAGAAAACCCCAAGGUUAGAAUAUGUAUGCAAAACUGUCAUAUAAAAUAAAUACACAAGUCUAUGUAAUCAUAUAUUAAAACUUAAUUUUACAAAUAUGGAAGAAAAGAGACAAAAGUCUGAUUUUGGUUAAUUAGUUUUUUCGUUUAAGGUUUAGAGUUUAGGCCAAACUAAAUAUCCUUAACUGCUUUUUUCAUAAUAUCCACCGAUAUCAAUCGGUCAUUUGAUCCAAUGUGUAUAGUCUGAGAUGUCUUCAUUCGUUUUUUCUUGACCAUUGCAUGCACAUUAAAAAAACGGUCAAAAUAGAUACAAUAAUAUGUUAACAUCCAUAUUUUGAUCUAACAAAUUCCCAAACUUUUUAUGUAUCAAUUUCUAUUUGAUGUUACAUUUAUGGACAACAUUUUUGGUAUCUACCUAUAUUUCUCAUCUAAACCAACACCCUUAGCUGCCUAGCAUCAUAUUUGCAAACUUCCAAUCCACUUUCCUAUAAAAAAAGAUAAAACGGUACAAAAAAGGCUUUAAAUGAAUGGUUUCCAUUAACAAAAUAUAAAAUAAGUAAAAGAAGGCACUUAUAAUUCUCACCACUCAAAUCAUUGAUUUUACUUUGUGCUUCCUGUCAAAUUGAAAGAGGAAUAAAUGUUAGUCAAAACUCAGAACCAAAAUGGUUAAGGGCAUCAAGAAACCCAUACGAUGACUAAAUCCAAAAAGUGGCUAAGUCUCAUCCCACACCCAAUUAUGAAAAUACAAAUCAAUCUUCAGAAUCAUAAUUCGUAAAAGUGGUGGUACUUGUACUUCUUUAUGUUAUGUUGAGAAGAUUGAAAUGAGCGUUGAUAAAGUUGACGAUGAGAAAGACAAUCCGAGAGUUUAGGCUAACAGUCAAAAGCCCUAUAUCUGACAAAAUCGAAGAAAUAUAAAUUUGUUUGCUGAUUUUUUUAAAAAAAGGAGAUUUUAUAGGGUUUUGUCGUCAUCCAGAGUUCAAUUUGAAGAUAUUUUGCUGGAAUUUGAUCAAAACCCCUACUCCGACUACCCAGUCUCUGACUCGGGUUCGUUGAAAAUUGUGUGGUGUUCCUUUGUUUGAUAAAAGAAAUCAUGUAUGUUAUGAUUUGGGAUGGUGUUAAUAGGUAAAUGAUAAAAUGUUGAUGCUUACCAACUGUUUGAUGAAUUGCCAAGGCGCAUUAUGAGGAAAGAAAAAAGCUAGAAGAGCAUAUGGUGUCUCCUCUGUGCUUGUCUCUGUUGAAACCAAAUUGAGCGAGCCAUAAGAAUUCAAUAUUAAAUGUUUGAGGAAAAGCUUCAGAUAUACAGUAGACGUGGAUGAGGAUGAUGAUGAUGAGACUUGGGAGUUGGGAAGAUGAGAUUGCUGAUGGAGAAGAAGAGGAAGAUGAUGACAUAGAACCACAAUGUUCAAUUUACAAUGAACCUUGAUAUUGUGUGAUUAUGUGUUAAUCUUUAGGUAGAGCAUGAAAUGUUGAGGGGGAAAAAGAAGAAAGAUGAGUCUUUCCAUAUAUACCUCUCUCAUGGUACAUGUACUUUCUGAUCAAAAGAUCAUCAAUUUUUAUGGAACAAAUUAAGGAUCUCUUGAUCAUCACCAAAUUUGACGUUGGACAUAACGUGGACUCCGGAACCCCAUCUCUUCAUGCUAGGACAAUUUUCCACCUUGAUAAACUCCAAAGAAGGAUAUUUGACUGUAGAAUCCCCAGAGUAGAAGCUCUUUAGUUGUGGCAAAAACCCAAGCUCAAUACGGGUAAGUCUAGGGAACUCAAUGUCAUUAUCAGUUGUUUGCUCAUCUCCACCAGAAAUUACUACCAUCAAACUGGUACACCUCCGAAUCCUUAUUUUUCUCAGAUUGGAAAGCCCUUGUGCUACACUUAACGGGAAUAGCACCGACAAGGAAGUACACCGUGCAACUUCAAUGGCUUGUAGAUUACGCAAGCUUAUAUAUUGAAAUGAACAAUCAAAAAGAAGCUUCAGGUUCUUAAGGUCAGUCAGACGGAUUUGUUCCACUUGGGAGAAAUACUUUUCCUUUGUUGUUUUCCUUUGACCAAGCAUCAGGUCAUUGGAUGCAACAAAAGUUUGUGUUGCAUCCUCAUCCUCA